rnacentral:lncRNA from 1 species
GGUGUGCUCUUCCCUGCAGAGCGUAUGGGCAAGAGCUGCCUGUAUUUUGUUUUGUCAUCAAGGAUUAUGUAUUGUCAAUAUGAACAAGAUAAGCAGUUAACUGUACUGUUUAAUUAUUUGUGUACAUUUGCAAGCUUUCUGGGUCAUCAUCACCUUCUUGAUUUCUGUGAUUCGUCUCUGUCAUUUGCUUCAUCUGUAAUACUCCAGAACAUUGUCCUGCUUUGUUAAUUUAUGGCUCCCUAAAUGCUCAACUAACAACACUUUGACACAAAUCACGGAGGCCAGCGUACUGAAGAAGAGUCAUUCCUUUGCUCUUUGACUUCUGAAGAUAUAGAGCAAAGAGUAAUUUCGUACCGCUGCUGAACCCUGUGAAGUUGCUGCCUUGAUUCUGGCAUGCGACCUACCGGCUUCAGUUUCAACAACGGAACCUCUGUUGUUUGCCCCGGCCCCCGGUCACUUUUUGUUGAGACUUACUCCAGUAGUAGAAUUAGAGAAGUUUAGGUGGAGAUACUUAUCAUCAGCUCACUGCCACUACAACGAAGUCAAACUUCGAAAGGAACGGCAGCAAUCUAACACAGCCAACUACGUAGGUCAUGGUCAUGUGUAGUUAAAUUAUAGAACAUGCUCCGGAUUACAAGAACCGUGCCCUCAGCUAACAUUUGCAUUUCUGUAUCCUAUUCUGCUAUUCAAGAGGAAAGCAACCUUGUUCUUGAUUGUGAUGUGGAAACUCAACCGUUCUUGUAUAACACCAGACACCAUUUGCACCAUGUUCAGAAAUCAGAAGUGCCUGACUUUGUCAGCUUAAGAUUUGGAGCAGGAAGUUCAGUCAAAGGUCCUGUUUGGAUUGACUUCUUGCGCGGGGGGGGGCUAAUGGAUGGACACUCGCCGCUCUGAUUUGCAAGGGUUCUCACGGUGAUUUUGCAGGAUUUUCACACCAAACGCUUCGAAUCCCGUAGGAUAAUUAUGUCCACGUGCAGUAUAUGACACUCCAACAAAAACGACCGAACCUGAAUUUGGGAUCCGACAAUGCCUGGAAAUCCUGUGAAUUACCGCGCUUUCUGAACAGAGGAUACGAAUCCAUGGAUGAUGGAUCCCCUGAACUUGGACAAGAGAGGGAGACCCACAGUGUGGGCGGGCCUCUGCUCGUAUUGAAUGCUGUUACCUUGUAGUGGGGCGCGACUUCGUCUCCUGGGCCAUGAUCUGGAUUAGCCCAUGUGCACACAAGGUGGGCAUCAUUCGCGGUGAAUCAAACGAGCUCACAUGUGUUGUACGCAAUGUGGCCUGUUCUUGUGUUUGCUCACGUCACAUGGUGUGUCCCGAAUUAACCUGACGAGACACGCAAGUAUUCCAUAACGCCUUAACAAUACUGCAAUAUCAUGUUUGCAAGAAUCUAUAAAGAUGGCAAAUUGGGUCACCGCCGAGGCCAAUCACUUGAGGAUUAUCGUGUCGAGAGAGUAGAUGGCUGUACCGACUUGGGGCUCUGGCAUGGAUCCAUCAGUGUAAGACAGUUCCAACCAUUCGAAAUGAUGCUCACUGUGUCAUCACGAUUGGCGGUAAAUAUAUUACACACAGACGGCAGAAAAGCAAAGCGAGCCGGAGGUACCUUGUCUGGUCAUAAGAUUGUUGCAGAGAACUUAUAUGUACAAAAAACUGCAUGGUCAUGGAAGAAAACACGACGAUCACUGUACAUGGCACACCAGGUAAAGAACUAAUUAGUGCAGCUAAGGAUACCUUUCUUUUAUUUCUGAUGAGCGGAGCAGUACGCAGUAUCUCCUGACCCUAUAUAAGACUAUCAUGAUGUUCUCCACUGCUCCCUCCAGCAAAUGUCUCUGAAGUUUCUGGCAGAUCAUCUACACUGGACAAAGGCUUGUCCACAGCAGAAGCAUCUAUGUUUGAAGGCUCUGGCAGGUCAGGCACAUCACUGUAAGGCUCGUUUACUGAAGGUGCAUACGUCUCUGAAGGAUCUGUCCGAUCAACCACAUCAACCAACGGCUCAUUGGCGGCAGAAGCAUACACCUCUGAUGGUAAGGGCGCAUCGACCACAUCAACCAAAGGCCCAUCCAUGGCAAAGGCUUCUUCAUCUGAAGAUGAGAAUGUACUGAACAAAUUAUCUGAACCAAAAGGGGCAGCUUCAUUGUCAAUGUCCUCCAGAUCAGAAAUUUGAGCUUCAGAAUCAGAUGAUUCUCCAAGCAAGACUUCGAGAGACGGGCUGCUAUUAUUUGUUCUCUCUGCUACGAAAGGCAUGCCCAAGAUGUCAUUCUCGCACUCAUGUAGCAAGUCAUAAACCCUUUGCAGCUGUGGCCCUGCAGUAGGGGUCACGUUAUAACUAGCUCCAUUACCUGCAAAAAGAUCUUCGAAAUGAUUUCCAGUCGCAGUGUUCCUUGAACUGAUGGCUUCAGUGGCAAAAACUACACCAAGCGACUCUAUACUGCUCAAAUCUAACCAGGAGUGUUCCACCUCUGGUUUCAUGAGGGUUUCAACAGGGCCGGAGUCCAAGCUGCUAUUAUCGAUCCAUGUUUUCUUGGAAUCAGGAAACUCAAAGAAUACAGAGUCCAUCCCACCAGAAAGCCUAAUGUUGUUCUCUGUAAUCUCCAGAUCUCCAUCCUUAUCUGACAAGGUUUCCAUUGCAUUGACACCAUCCCUGGUAGCACCAUUUGCAGGAGAUGCACAGUUUGAUGAUUCAAAAGUUGUGUUAAUGGAUAGGUCACCAGAAAUAUUUCCGUCUCCCUCAUCAAUCUCCAAAGCUUUCUUCACUAGCAAAAGUUGGAACAUUGGGUUCUUCUGGCCCACCUUGCGGUCAGCAUCUUCCAAGUUCUUAUGAGCUCCUGGGGAUGUUCUCUUGAAGGAGGAUAUUGCAGCACCAUCGUUACCAAGGCACACCUCAGAAGGACCAUUCCUGAAAGAGCUAGCAUUUCUUGCUGCAAGAAACUCUGCCAAGGAUACAACAGGUCUGCUUUCAUUCACUUGAGCUGUCUUAUCAACAGAUUCCCAAAUAGUUGAAGAUUUUUCUUUCAUCUGAGUUCCAUCAGCAACUGACCCCAGAAGUGUAGGAGGAGGCUGAGAAGGAUCAUCCACAGGUUCAUUGCUCAUGACAAAUGUCAUUGUGUCCAAAGUAGGAUCAUAAUUCUUUCCGUUUACCUGCGUACGGUCAUCAACAGAUCCAGUAUGAGGCCAUGAAGGAACACUCCAUGGUUCAGUGCUAGCAAAUGCCGUCUUGUCAGGAUAGAGAUCAAUAUUCAGUUCAUUUACCUCAACAUUCCCGACCAAGCGUGCCUUAGAGACAGAAGUGGGUGGAACCACAUCAACUUCCUUACUUACAUCACCAAAUUCACCAUGAAAUUGGCCAACUGAUCCAUCUUUAGUGGAUAUCUCAUCAGCUUGUCCAUUAGAAAGGGAGGAACUUGAGGAAUCAAUUGUAUUUUCAGCACUUAAAUUACUGGCGGUGCAAGCAACAGACUUCGAGGGUGACGUAGCUUUGGUGGAAUUGAGAAAUGCCUCCAAGGCGAAUGCUAAUGCACCAUCAAUAGUAACAGGAGCUUUGCCUUUGGGGUCGUUGACAGUGCUUUUGCUCAGAGUAUCAUCAGAGUUUGUAUGACGAUCAUCAAGAUCACCAGCUGUUUCUUUGACAUCCUCCACUUCAUCGUCUUCAUCAUUUGGGAACUCUGGAACCUUAACAGCUAGACCUGGUGUACUCUUACGUUCUUUCUCAGAAGAUGAAGCAGAAUCAGCUGGUGGAAAAGGCCCGUGAUGAAGCUUCUCACAAGUUACCUCAGGUUCACAUAUGAAAUCAGAAGCCCUAACAUUAGGUCCACGUAUUGUAUUCUCAUCGGCCAAAUCACAACCACAGGAAUCUUCUAAAGAAAAUUCUGGCGCCCUGAUAACCAAGCCUGGCUGCCUGUUCAUUAUAGAAGCAGAAGUUCCAGUAUUGCCACUAUAAUGUUCCUUUUCCUGUGAGUUAGUGAUAUCAGAGUAAACAUUUGGGACUGACAUUCUUGCAGACAAAGACUGAAUCUCUACAGAAAAUGAAUCAAACUGUUGCUCCAGCCGCUUAAGCCUUGCCUCAAUGCUACCGAGGGGCCUCAUCAUACUGUCCUCAAACCUAGAGCAAUAUAACUCCACUUUAUCCACCUUGGAGAGGAGAAUUUCCAGCGUCUUCUCAAUAGGAUUGUGCGGAGUAAAAUUUCCAUUCAUGACAGGACCAGUGUCCUGAUCCAUAUUUGAUACUCUCUGGCCCUUUGCCGAUGCCACUUGUAUAUUUUCUGUUGUUCGCUCAGGCAAAGGGAGAGGUCUGGGAACAUUUAAUGGGAACUCACCUUGGUUGCUUUUUUCAUUAGAGAUCGUAUCACCCCCCAUAGGUGGUAUUCUGUUUUCCAACCCAGCUGACAUAAAACUUGAAUCAUUUGUGCCACACAUUGCUGCUUCUAAAUCAAUCUUUCCACAUGGGCUGCUCUCUUUCAAUGCACAACCUUCAGGAAGUUGUGUCCUCAGGCCAUCAGGAAAAUAACUGUCAUCUAUUUUGCACUUUGUAGAUUUGGACAUUUGCAUAAGACCAGGAACAAGCAUAGCCAACAAAGAACUACCUCCCAUGUUUCCAGGACCAGCUACUGACUCAUCACUGGUGGACCCAACAUUAUCAGCAAAUAUGUAGAUCUCUUCAAGGUGCACUGAUGUCUUUGACUCUAGUGAAAGAAGACGGACAGUAAGAGAAACACAUGGGCUUGCGUCAGUUAUCUCAGCAGUUGCUUCAUAGUGUGCCUGGAUUAUGCAAAAUAAAACAACAAUGUCGUAAUUUGUAAGAAUCUAGGAGAAGUAUUUUUACAGUGAGUAUCAAACAAUAUUUAUUGACAAGACCAAAAACGAGAGGAAAUACCAGAGUAUUUUUCUGGUGGGUUCCAAUCGCAUUCCUUUCUUGAGAUUCAGGUGUGUUGCUUUCCAGAGGAGACUCUGGAACUUUGACUUCAACCCAGCUAUCUUCAUCACUACUACUGGUUACACUUUUGGUCUCUUGUUCAUGCUUUUCAACAGAUACAGUAUUGCUACUCCCCUGAGACAUACACUCUUCACCAGAGGGCAGCGGUUCAUUAGCAGCAAGUCCACAGCGCACAGUGCAUAGAUAAUCCUUGCUGGUAUCCUUCAGGUUGGUUGAAUAGUAUAUUUCAUAAAUCCGGGCUGUGCUUUUCACAUACACUCUAUGAAUCUCAUACUUUCCUGUGAAAUUAACUGAAAGAAGAAGUGAAUUAGUUACAUCGAUACAGAAAUGGAAAAUGAAUUGAAAUUCAGCGGGGAAAUGUUCUACACUAUUUAUAGAACAAAAUGGAGACAAACUAGAAAUUUGGCCAUGAAAGCCACGCUAUGAUGGACUACAUAGAAUGAUAUAGAGCCUGACUUCAGAUUUGCAAUGCAGAUACAAGGCGGAUUGAAUAAAAGAUGACAAAAUAAAAGCAUACUAGUUGCAGUUCCAAAAUUAAUUAGCCUCUGGUGCUCGCUGAAGCUUUCGCAAGUCGACAUGGACGGGCACCAACGGCGCGAAGGAUCGCAUUGCAGUAGCCUCUGGUGCUGGCUUCCUUUGGCACCGGGUUGGCCUGUGUGUUUUGUUUUAGCUGGGCCCUGGAUGCGAUGUAUGGCUUGUAUUUCGCUACUGUUUUGGGCUACAUUUUCCUGUUUCUUUGUUGUUCUUUUUGCUUACAUUUUGGACUACUCUUUUGUAUGCUGGCGGUUUCUAUAAUGGAAAUCGGUGGAGAGAGCCCACUGUUUCUAUUUUUUUAUUAAUUAGCCGACAAAAUUCUGCCCUGUCACUAUACAAGAAAGGAAAUACUUUAUGGGAAUUAAAGCGUGAUCAAGGGUGGGCAAUUUGUAGUGGAACAUAUUUACUUCAAUGUCGAGCUUCUGGAAAAAAGUGGAAGCUAAAGCUGUCAAAAUCGAGCCAGGUCUUUUCCGAAGUACUCCCUCCGUCCCAUAUUAAGUGACUCAAAUUUGCUCGAAUAUGGGUGCAUCUAUAUCCCAAAAGUGUCUAGAUACAUGUAAUAUUUCGUCACUUAAUAUGGGACGGAGGGAGUAGUACCAAAACUACUAAUUGCUGUUGGAGUGAUCAUGGGGAGAAUACGAAGCUCUGAAAUUUUAUACAUUUUAGUAUACAGCCUAUAUCACAUAUAGUGAUCGGAUAUCCACUUCAAAUAUGAGCCUUUGGACAGGAAAAUGGCCCCUGAAGUGUCUGCAGCGACAAGGGUUUCACUGAUAUACGAAUAGGCCAAUUCGAAUGGACUCUGCAAGUCUCCAACAGCAAUAGCCAGUUUGGUGUGCUUAGCUCGUAUACUAGCCCACUAGGGUUUAUCCAACCAUACGCUGACUAUUGCAAAAGAUUAAAUUUCAACAGUGCUUGCAUCUGCGUCCGAUCAGCGACAUGGAACAACGGCACGGCGCAAUUCGCAAUCAAACCUCCCGAAAUCUUUCACUAGGCUACAACUUUCCAAGGCAAAAACGAGGACCCACCAGUAACUUCGCAUGGAGGGGGAUCCUCUCCGCCGUCGGAGGGCGGGCGGGCGAGGACGACGGCCGUGGGGGAGGACUCGGCGUCGUCGGUGGACGUCUCGAAAGACACGGCGUCCUCGACCGUCGCGGCUCCGGCCGGAGCCCAGGUGCUGGUCGCCGUCCAGGGCCGCCCGGGCUCGCCUCCCGAUCCCGAUGCCGCCAUCGCUCCCCGACUGCCUCCAGCCGCGUAGUGGGUGGGGAAAUCGGCGGUGGCGUACUGGUGGGGUUCGCCGUUGGUCGCUUAGCUUCGCUUCAGGAUUCCGUCAGGCGCUCGCUCACUUCACGACGAAUCUGGUGCGGGAUCUCAUCCUACAUUCCGACAGGCUACAGGCCCUCGAAACAAAAUGGAUUUUGGGAUUUGGGUUUGCCGUUGUCUUGGGCCUAAGUCCAAUAGACCAAUAAUAAGGCCAACUAAACGCAUGGGCCCAUUGCCGCAUUCAUAAAAAACAUGGGCUUCUAGGCCCAUUAAAAAUCGUUAUCGAGUUAUCCACACCGCGAAUGUUUUACCACCGCAGCCGCAGACGAUGCGUCCCGGGCGCGGCCGUCAAGAAUGCAGCUCCGCUUCGUCCCGCUCGCCGCGAGCGCCAUGGCCGGAAGGAGCUUCCUCGCCGAUCUUCCUCGGCCCGUGAGGGGGAGAAGGAAUCAUCUAUGCUACAACGGGAACAAUUCGUCGUCGUCGGAGAAGGACGGCGAGCGUGGUCCGACAGAAGAGGCGCUGCGGCGGCUGGCAGAGCUCGACGCUCAGCUGGAAGGGCUGAAGGAGCCCAAGAUGAGGCCUCCGCCGCCCCCUCCUCCCCCAGGUAAUCAACUAAUCAUUGACUACCGGUCUCGUCGGGCCAACUUGGCUUCUCCGGUCUUCCAUGCGUCCAUACUAUCUUGCCCUCUCAAUUCAAAAAAUCAAUGAUUCAAGAUCUUCAUCACAGCCAAUAAUUGAUUGAGAUCAAGUUUUUGCAGCACACGUGAACCUGUAUGUUCGCGUGUCCUCUGAAAAGAAAAGAAGAUUUUCACGGUGAGUGUGUUACAGCAAGUCAGCAAGGAUGUAUGUUUAGGUCCUACUGAAAAUUGUGUUUAAAGCUGCAUAAACUAUGCAGGAUAGAUGGAUCAGUCCCUUGCACUGAAACUACCUAAUGAAACCCUAUGAAUUCAUAUGCAAAACUUGUGGUCCUCAGCGUAAAUUCUAUGCCUGAAUGCUUCGGUACAGGGUACAAAUGGCCAUUUCUCAAGUACUCGUACCUUAGAAGCUUAGAUCAGUAGUACAAAUCAAGUGCAAAAUGCAGACCAGGCUUGCCAUUUCCUCAUGUAGACUUUUAAGAGCAGUACUUACAUUACAACGUACGGAGUACUUCGUAGAACUCCUAAUGACUGCAAAUGUACUGACCCUCAAAUUGCUUCGUCCUUAUCGACACAGAAGUACUUUCCGAAAUAGUUGAAGCCUUGUCACUUCAUUUCAACAUCACCUUGGCAUGUUAUCUUACCGUGUUUUGCUUGGCAUGCACAGACCCUUUCAUGGACCGGGACAUGAUAAUAACGCGGGGACGACCAAGCGAGGAGCUCCCAGAAAUGACCCCGGCGUACGUAGCCUUCUCAACUCUAGCGCUUUUCAUCUUCACCAUCUUCACCAACGUGAUGUUCAACCUGUACGUCAAACCUUCCGUGGACGGCGUCGAUCAGCCCGUGAGAACUCAGAGAACGGCCCUGCUUAAUCCAGCAGACCAGCUGCCCCAGAGUAGCUCGUCCGAGACGUGAAUGACAAUGAACCGCAGCUUGUUAAAGCAAGAGGGCAUGUGACUUUUUAGCUAAUAAAAGUAAAUGGAUGGUUUGCGCCUCAUAUUUGAUUUUCUGUAUGUAGAUCAAUCCCCACAUGUUCCGAAUGAACUAUAUUUUGCUGGCAUCGAUCGAGGGUUCGUUUUGAUAAUGCAGAGGUUCUGCUGCACAUGCCUGUGUCUGUGUGGGGCUCUACCUCUCGAUGUAUAUUCAGUUUCUUGAUGGCCAAUGAUGACCGAUCAUAGAACGUGGAAGUAAAAGAAAACCGAAUCGACAUCCUGAAUCAAACAUAUCAAACCCAACUGAUUGUAUCAGCAGUAGUCACGGACGGACGCAUAACUUGGAGAACGCCGACAUGACGAAUGAGCUGUGAACUAUGUUCGUGUGGCACGCGGGAGAAGCAGAGCUAGCAGCGGGGUACGUACUCCCGUCCCGUGGUAGCGGUCCCGGGCUCUGCGAUCUUGUACUGAUGAUUUUCUUUCUUUCAGUUGUACAUGUCCUUUGGCUCUUCUGUUUUCCCUAUUCUUUUCUAUCUUAUUAUGUCUCUGCCUUAUAUUGUUCCGAUUCAUACACUGGCCUUUCGGAUUUGUCGGCAGUUUUUGAGUUCCCGUGGAGAUCGUGGACCUUAAUUUCUUGUUGGCUUUCGCUUUCGUUUAAGCAAGAUUCUGAGUUGCUUUCCUAUCGUAGCAGCAGUACGCCUUGGUUUGUCUCCUGUUUCGUCACAGCGCUAGCUAUCGAUUUAUUUUUCGUCUCGCCCGCACAAAAAAAUAAUGUUUUGCUUAUUUCUUGCUCCCUUGAUCCUAAAUUGUUGAAUCAAAUUUGUCAAAAUAUAGAUGUAUCUAUUCUUAAAAAGCGUCUAGAUACAUGUAAUAUUUCGACAACAAUUUAGGAUCGGAGUGACUACGUUAUAUUUUCUUAAUCUAAAUUCCGUUUUAAUACAGUUCCAAAACACCUGAAGGCGAUGUGGCUCCGCAGCAGGCCGAGCUUUGACCCUAUUUUAAACCUCGCAUGUAUUUCCCGUCUUAAGUACGUAUGUAUGUCUUCGAUGCUGCACGCCUGCACAUGAUUAUUUAUUCAUUCGUUUUUCCCAUAUCUAACCCAAGCCCAAGCCUCGAACAAAUACCUGGACGUAUUAGUUUAGAGGAAUCUCGUAACAUGGAGAUCAUAUCAUAGUUUAUCUCUGCCACGAAAGGAGAACAUACUUCAACUCCGCCCCCGGAUCGAGUCAUCGUAUUCCAGCAGUCCAGCUGCCAACACCAGAACACCUCACGUGCCUUUACGUGAGACCCGAAGAGAGGUCUCGGUAAUACGAGCAGUAGCCCUCGCAUUGGCUUUACUUGACAGCUUUUUUCAGGGGAACUUUACUAGGAAACAGAUCCGAAGUGAAAUGAGGUCCAGCAUCAGGCGUGCCAAUCCUUUUCCGACGAAUAAAACUGCAUGGCACCGAUCCAUCGCCCGGCCCAUUUCGUGUCCGCAUCGGUCGAUGGUGCAUGUGCGCCCGUCCGUCCGUCCGUCCCCAGAUCUGGUGCGUCUCAUCCGGACAAAAGCCCUCGGACUGCACGCCCGGACGACGGACGGACACGUCGCCCGCCCGCGGCGCGACGCCACGGCCAGGCAAUGAGCUAGCACGGUGAGAUGUCGAGUUCUCGGCGAACAGAGGACUUCGCUUCACCCGGCCGCGGCGAUCCACGCUGUAGAUCUUCUCCAUGAUUUCGUGAAUCAGUACUGUACUAUUAGCUGGAAGAACCCGAUCGAUCGGGUAAUAAUUGCGGAGGACGGAUCAUCACGGAACGAAUCGAUCGGCCGGGGGCGGUUUGUGCUGUGGUUGGCCGGCAUGUGAUCGGUCAGCCGCGGUGGCCCGGCACAGGGCAGUGCGCUGUGGACACUGGCAAUUUACUUAUCCCUGCAUACCCUGAAGAGCACGCGUGUGUAUGCCGACUCUGGGCUGCUUUCUACAGGCACGUGAUGAUGUGCCAACCGGAUGCUAGUUGUCUCUCACCAGUCAGCUUAACGUCACCCCCCGUGUCUGCUCACACUCGAGUGCUACAAAUCUUUAUUACGGACAGUAAGAUACUGUUUCACCUCUGCUCGUUUUACACGCGAUGUAAUCAAUCGACCCUACCUUAGCCCCUUUGCUGCUAAAAGAAAGCGUCGUACGGUGCAAACGACGACGGCAUGAUUUCUCUCCACACGCGUACGUGGGGCAGUGGCGACGUGCACGCUCGCCGAACGCUCCGGCGAGAAUGAGCAGCGAAAGCGGGCAUCUCCGUGGCCAUGUGGUGCGAAGCGCAGCUAGCUGGACGCAAAAGCUCGCCCGGAAAGCCAAAAGAAUCCUUUUUCUCCUUUCGUUCUCGCCGCGAGCGACCUAGCAGUACUAGCGAGGUCAGGUCGAUACUCGAUCUCUCUUUCUUCCACAUGCGCUCUCGUGUGCGGCCUGAACCUUGUCGGAGGACACGUACUACGUACGUCCAUGCCGCAUUAUUUAGCGACUUCACAUGGGGGGACGAAGAUGGCGAAGGACCCGAGACGGUGCCCAGCUAAAGGGCGGCUACGUGUAGCUUGUACGUCUCCGACAAGGGGGUCAGCCCGUCAAUGUUGUGCGACCAGCUACGUGUCAAAGGAGAGGUGGCCGUGUGACGAACAUUUUAUUGUGUUCAGCGUGCACCGGCUUCAACCUCCCACAACUGACGUUUCCUUGGACGUAGUAAAAAAAGAGAAAGAAAUUGACGUGUCCUUUUCGAUUGUAUUCUUGGUAAGAUGUCCCGCGCAAACAUCUUUAUAUGUGGUAUCUGCCGAAAAAACCCCGUUCGGUGUAAAUUUCAUAAAAACCAUGUAUAGAAUUUUUAAAAAUUCUUAUAAAAAUGCCAUAUUGUGAAGGUGUGGUACUCUACAAAUGUGCAAAAAUUCAAGCAGAAAAUCAAAUGCGUUUGAAAAAUUAAAAAGAGAAUACAAAUGAAUAGUGUCAAAAUUGAAGGCCCACUAUUCAUGUUGAAUUUGUUUUUUUUCGCUCCUACCAAACGCAAUUGAGUUUGAACUUGAAAUUUUACACAUACAUAAAACAUCAUUUCUCUAACAUAUGAACUUUUUUUAGAAUUUUUUGAACUUUUUUCGAUGAAGUUUUCAUAGUUUGCACGGUAGAUGUGGUUUUCAUCGGAUACUUUUCCUAAUUACUUUGGCUCACGAUCCAUAUUAAGUGCUAGCUUUAGUACAACUUUCUGCUAAGUUAAUAGAAAAUUUAAGAUGCUUAUUAUGGAUCGGAGGAAGUAUUACUAUAUUAUUUAGAAAAAACACCAAGUCAGUAAUAGAAAGAGAAGAUAGGUGUUUGUGAGACGGUGUGCACAUGCAUGUAUACAUGUUCUGCCCCAUCUUAUAUAGCUUCAUCGCCCUUUGUUUUCGCGUGUGUUGCCAUACAAAGACAGAAAAUAUCCACGCAAAUUUUUGAUUGGGGGAUUGCAAUAUUGAUCGGUAAGAACAUCCAAUCUAGUGGCCGUGCUGUUAUAUACGAAUGGUGCCUAAAUAAAGUGUAAGGGCAUGCGUCAUAACUGGCCCGUACAAACAUAUAAACAGCCUAGUAAAUCAAUGGCCCAGUUAUAGCACCUACAAUUACGUAAAUCAAUAAGUUAUGUAUUGGAUUUAGGUGGGACUUAAACCAAUUCGUAGCCCAAUAAAGAUAUCGGUCUCAUUAAAUCUUAACCGUUAAAUACCAGAUCCAAUGGAUAGAAUAACUGUGAUGAUGUUGAUCAACGUGAAGUCUCCCUUCAGUACACCUCAUAUUGGUUUUAGUAUAUAAUAGAGAGAUGUGAGGUAACAUAUUUGUUGAAAGUUUACUUUUAGUCCCAUUCAUUGUAUUGUAUAUAAUUGAUAGAUAAUUUUUUAGCUCACGUGGAUAGAUACUAAGUUGAAAACCGAAUUGCUGAUUUUCUAAUUUAUGAUGCCGGUUUUAUAUUACAACAAAGUUACAUUCCAAUGAAGUUGUUAUUUUUCUCUCUCUCUCUCAAUUCACUUAUUAUCUUCAUUCGUAUUACUUGUUACGGUUUUGUCUAGAUACGUAUAUAUCUACAUAAUGAAACACGUCUAGAUACAAGUAUGUCUAGAUAAAGCUGCGACAGUAAUAUGGCCGGAUGGAGUAGUUACUUUUAACGCCACAUAGAGUUUGUACGGAAGUAGAUUGUCAAAUUUCUUGUUAUUAUUUAAUUUUAGUUAUAUAUAGAGACACAUGUGUUUGUCUAGAACCAAUCUCACGCCGCUGCACUGCCCGCCGUUCCUUCAAUCGAACGAUCGGGCCGGUCUUUGCUCGCAGUGUUGGAUCUUGGAUCGUUAGAUUAUUACUCCUGCCUGGCCCGUACAAAUAUACAAAAAAGCCUAGUAAAUUAAUGGUCCAAUUAUAUCACCUAUAAUUACGUAAAUCAAUCAGUUAAGUAUUGGAUUUCAGUGGGCCUUAAACCAAUUCGUAGCCCAAUAAAAAUAGCACUCAUUAAAUCUUAACCGUGAAAUAUCAGAUCCCAUGGACUGAAUAAUUGAGGUGAUGUGGAUCAACGUGGAGCCUCCCCUCGGUACCCCUCAUAUUGCUUUUAGUAUAUAAUAGAUAUCUGGAAGGAGGUGUCAUGUCUCCUUGACAGACAACUAGGUGCUGAUUUUGAUUCAAUUGCUCGUUUAUGGAUGGCUAAUAAAAAUCUGUAUGUAAUAACUCUAUAUAUGCUGUUGUUCUUUAGAGCAUCCGGGCUUUUCGUAAUAACAUGAUUUUUAAUAACCAAGUAUGAUUGUCUCUUAAGCAGAUUUCGUGGCUGAUUCUCCAGUCUCUCGGGAAAUGGUCGUUUCUGUUCAAAGAUACUUUGCUGGACAGGGUGGACUCUUUCUGUCAGAUGGUGUCUCGGCUCCUGGGCGCGCCACCGCUACUGGUUGGGAUCUGAAUGAGGGCAUUUCUGGCCCUCUUUCCCCCACUAAUCUGCCUGUAGGUGUUGUCUCCCCGUUCUCGGGUGUGCUGGGACCGAAACUCCUGAUGCCUUCAGUCAGCCCUAGCUCUGUGCUGGAGCUUCCUCCUCCGACGGCGAACCCAUUGCUGGUUUACGCUGAGCACAAGCUUAUGCUGAAACACCAAGCUUGUGAGCUCGCCGUGCCGCCCCUUAGGACUGCUAUAUCUUCUUGGUGAGGCUGUUUUUCUUCUUGUUUUGGCUGGCUAUGUUUAACCACAAACCAGCUUUCAUUUUGUGUGUUACAGCAUUUGCACGAACCUGGUUUCUUGUUAUAAGGAGCCGGGAGUCCUUGGGCCUCCUGUUGAUUAAAAAUCGCCUCCGGGGAUUAUUGCUCUCGUGAAAGCCAUGCGUUCUGGUUAUCUACAUUCUCCCGGGCAACUGUUUUCAUUCUUGGGAUUAAAGAAGUUCUAAUACUGUUCUCUCUUGUGGACUAAACUAACCAAACGGUGGCACUAGCGAGCUAGGCGACGCACGUCUUGGUUUUGUGGCAGAUCGGCUCGCACAUGUACGCAAAUCAAUGUGAGGAGCCUAAUAAUGUGGAUGGACACCAAAAAACCGGGGAGCGAAAGCUCGAGUUCGGAUUUCCAUAUGCUAAAUCAUGCACACGCCAAUCCAAUCGCUCGAUCGAUGACGCCGCAAGUGGAGCCCGAACCCGCUCGGAUGCUUCCCGGUUACCGCCUCCCUUUGUCCGGUUGCUGCAGUAAGGAAUUCAUCGGUUUCAGAGGAGUGGUCUCCUUUUCCCUGCCAUGCCAUGGUGUUGCUCGUGCUCUCGUACACCUCGCACCGCUGGCUACAACCCGGCCGGCCUCCUCGGUAUUUGAGCACGUCCCGAUUCAACGGAGGUCAAAAAAAUGAAAAGAUAAGAAAAAUAAACUGAAAAUCGGACAUUUAUCCCCUCACGCCCUUUUUAAGACCACCUCGAGAUCGACCUCAUCACUCCCGCACUCAACACUCUCUGGCCAGCCAGCCAGCUCCAAGGCUCUGCGAGGCAGUAGUAGCAACCAGCCAGCCAGCCAGCCCAGAAAGGCCACAACAAUGGCGAAGACAGCCUCGUUCUUCCUCCCUCUCAUAGCGCUCCUGCUCGUGUCUCCGGCGCUCUGCUCGCCGCCGCCCAGCAAGCGUUGCCCCGCGGGCGACCUGCAGGCGCUGCUGCGCGUGAAGCAGGCGCUGGGCAACCCGGCGACUCUCAAGACGUGGUCCGCCGCGUCGCCCGACUGCUGCAGCACGUGGGACCACGUCCGGUGCGACGAGUCCGGGCGCGUGAACAACGUCUUCAUCGACGGCGCGGACGACAUCCACGGCCAGAUCCCGUCGGCCGUGGCGGGGCUGACCGCUCUCAUGUCGCUCUCCCUCUUCCGUCUCCCGGGCCUCCAGGGCAGCAUCCCGGCCUGCCUCACCACGCUCUCCAACCUCCAGUUCCUCACCAUCUCCCACACCAACGUCUCCGGCCCGAUCCCGGACUCGCUCGCCCGCCUCCACAGCCUCGACUCCGUGGACCUCUCCAACAACAGGCUCACGGGCUCCAUCCCAAACUCCUUCGCCGACCUCCCGAACCUCCGCUCCCUCGACCUCCGCCGGAACCUCCUCACCGGCCCCAUCCCUGCCAGCCUCGUCCAGGGCCAGUUCAGGUCACUCAUCCUCUCCUACAACCAGCUGACCGGCCCGAUCCCGCGUGACGACGCGCAGGACGAGAUCAACACCGUGGACCUGUCCCACAACCGGCUCACGGGCGACGCGUCAUUCCUGUUCGCCGAGGGCCGGCCCAUCGGGAAGGUGGAUCUCUCGUGGAACGACCUCGAGUUUGAUCUCAGCAAGCUUGUUUUCCCCAAGGAGCUCACGUACCUAGACCUCAGCCACAACCGCAUCAGGGGUACAGUUCCCAGGUCGCUCGAGGCGCUCUCCACGCUGCAGACGCUGGAUCUCAGCUACAACCAGCUCUGUGGCCCGCUCCCCAAGCUGCACGGCGUCAUGCGACACGGCUGCAAGCCCUACGAGCAUAACAUGUGCCACCGCGGGGCGCCGCUCGAGGGCAGCUGCCACCAGCUGCUGUGAGCGAGCUCUCGCCGGCCGGAUGGAGGCGUACGUAUUUUACAUGUGUGCGUGAUGAUGACGGUGUGCUUUUGGGGGGUUUAGUAGUGUAAACUAGUGGUGACGCAUGCCCUGACACGCGUGGUCGUCGUCCUUGAGGCUUUGUGUACGUACGACACGCGGCGGGAGGUGUGUGCUUGCCGGUGUGCACGUACCGUCCGGAGAUGCGAGUGUGUUUCCAAAUGUGUUUGUGACUUUGUGUUCGGAUGGAGGGAUUCCGAACGAUUACCAGAUGUAUCAAAUGUUAAAUGGUAAUUAUAUCUGCCUGCCUUUUUAGUAUACAUACAAACUUUGGUUGGUUGGUGACGAACGAACUUGCGAAAUGAAUUUCCCUGGCGUUUUGGGGGGACUGAUGGCAGUCUGUGUCUAGUCUAGCAUGCAUGCAUGUACAUUUGUGCUAGUCCACCACUGCCCCGGACACGCCGUCUUUAUUUUCCGGUAGAUGGUUGUAGCAGAGGGGUAGGUAAAGAACUUCAAGUUCAGUCUCAAGCAUAGUAUCAACAUGAGAUGCUACGGGGGCAGGGGCUCCAACCUCUGACCCAUGGUUGACUGUUCAAAGCGAACAGGUUACUGGUACUCAGAGCUGCUGGAGUAGUUUGUGGAGGAAACCUUCCUAGUACUACAACAACCGAAUGGGCAUGGCUCAAGUAACCAAAGGUUUGAUCAACGAUGAUGUUACGAAAUGAUGGUUGCACAGAAUGCUCCGGAAAUCCGUACUGCCGCUUCCUUCUCCAAACAACGAACCCACGCACGCAGCUGUAGUAGUAGUACAAGAAUCCGUUGCGUAUACAUGAUUCGAGUUCAAAUUUGAAGGACGUUGGACGCAUUAAAGCCAGCAACGGUAACCUUGCCAAACUUCCGACUUUCCAAAUUUGAAGUACUCUACAUUUCGGCAUGGCACUGUAUACUGCACACUCUGGCAUCGGUGAUUCCGUGAGCAGCACUGUAGACUGCGCACUUCGGUUGAAGCAGCCCAUUCGACGAGACGAGACGAGCCAUUCGUAUGGCCGACUGGCGUCUACAGCAGACUACAGCGAAAGGACGAACGUGGUCCAGACUCCAGAGAAACGACCGAGGGCGCCGUGCUCGCGCACAAGGCCCUAUCCAGCCAAGCACAGAACAUGGAGCAGCACGGGGUGCGGCCCGUGUGAUCUCUUUCCUGCUGCUUUCUUGCGAUUUUGCCCAGGCUAUUGGGGGCCGAAACUCGUUGCUACUCCCCGCUGACGGGCCCUGGUUCCAUCCACUGUUGGGCUCUGGUUAGCCGGCCAUUAGCCGAGAAAAUACAACGUAGUCAUUCUUAACCGAGCUCUUGGGCUUUGUUUUAAAAAAAAACGAGCUCUUGGGCUCCUAAUUCAAUGCCUUCGAACAAGUAAGCAUAACCUUUCGCUCAAAAAAAAAAGUAAGCAUAACCUUAUUUCCAAAGCAUGCACAAUGUAAGAUUUCUCAAAAAAAAAAACAUGUACAAUGCAAGAUGUCAUGUGUUUAGAAAAAUUAAACGGUUUUUUUUAAUCACCGGUGAUAGGCAGAUGCCUAAGUUGGCACCUCUCCUGUACAAAUAAACACUGGUGCUUAAGAUGUUGUUUAGUUUAUUUUCGUAAGCACAAAUUUAAGCACCUUGCAUUGUAUAUGCUCUCAUUGGACCUGCACGGUUAUCUAAAUCUAGGAACUCAUCUCGAUGUUCCUCUUUCCCUAGAAAAAAAAACUCGACUUAGUUUCAUGUUACCGCGGCCGCACGGGAGAACGACUAAGGUUUUGAGGCAGAGUCACCUUCAGCUGUCGGAAUUUGUUGGUUUUCAUUGCCUACUGCCCCGUUUUGACACUGCGAGGCAGAGAGAACCUCGGAUCUUCAUUAAAGCAUCCAGAAGUUAAUAUAUGGUGUGUUGUCAUCAUCGGUAACGCUAUGAGGCUGCGAUGUCUGAAAUAAAAGUACUCUUGUUCUUUCUAUGUUGCGUCAUUAGCUUAUCAACGGUGCCACAAGGCUAGAGAAUUGUACUCAUUGCUUGUUUAUGUCUUCGCAGAUUCAUUCAUCCGGAUGCAUGAGUUUUUGUCAAUGUGCCAUGAUGCUUUCAUGUUGUACAAUUUUUUGUGGCUUUGGAGACUUCUCUAACAUUUGAGUUAACAUCUUGUGGUUCGAUGGCAUGCACCUUUAGGAGGUCAUCCCUGACCCCAAGUACGUUCAGCGGCCAUGGUUUUUCAUCUUUUCGGAUGAGCGACUCAGCGCUCAAGUGACCUUUUGAAACAUUUUUGAAACAUUUGAAGGUAGUCACGUUUGUGCAAGGGUACAAGUGUUUAUGUUGCCGCUCUAGUCUAAAGCACUGUCUUUGUUGAAGUCUUUACAAUAUUUCAUGUUGUAAGAAUUGAUACCAUGGAGUGCGUAUUCAGAUAUUUUAUUUUCAUUCUUAGUUGUAACAGUUACUUCGUAAUUUUUGUGGACUAUUAUUGAAAACACUAUACCUGUAGUGAUUAUCGAGUUUGAAUAAAGUUUCUACUGAUUAUCAAAGAAAAUUGUUUUUUCUAUAAAAAGUUACCUAAAACUGAGAAACAUGUAGUUGGACGGUUGGAUGCCUCAUUGAUUUGCGGGAUAGGCAAACAUAGUCAUAGGAAAACACAUGAUUGUAACGUUAUGCACAUUUGAGUAUUGUUUGAUUGAACAAACAAAAACAAAAACAAAAAUCUAUGAAAUGUAGUGCAAAUGAAUCAUUUUCUAUUAAAAUACUUUGAAUCGAAUAGGCUAUGAGUGCUUACAUAUUCGCUCUGAACAUACCCGAGUCUUUCUUUUCUUUUUUUCGAGAAAACGCAACCCUUAUGUCUCGAUGCAUUUAUAUAAAAAAUGUAUUUACAAGUUCAAGAACAGGCCAACACAACCGAUCACUCAAAACAAAAACACGACCAACGACCGCUAGACGACCAUUACAACCAACGUCACCAAACAACCCUAGGCCUAAAUGUCAAAACACAAUAGUAUGGGAUAGCGAAGAAGGCGCGGCCUACCGGCCUCGCAAAACUCGAAGACAAGCCUGUGAGCCGGCUCGUCAACUACAGAAGCCUCAGGACGUCGAUCGCCGGCGCUCGUCCCGAACAUUGCGCCACCAUAUCUCACCGCUCCCAUGUUGGUCAUAACAAAGGACUAGUUUCGUCCGUCGAUACCUGUCGAGUGCACCCAUGCGACCAAGGUGCCGCAGCACGGGAUCCUCCGCUAACCACUACCUUUUCCGUCCAAGGUGGCGCACUUUAUCGGUCCAGGGAAUGACUUGUCUUUUUACCGUUCACUUGUCUAAAGAUUAUCAGUCAUCGUUUAAAAAGGACUCCAUGCCUGCACACGGCAUACCGCCUAUUUUAUUCCAACGUGCUUAUUUGCUUGGCUGUGUAUGAUGUAAUGUGCUCCCUUGAGCGUUUGACCGCGACUCGGCAAGCAGGAAGCGUCGACGACUAUACACUUGUUACUUUGUUAGUAGUAUAAACUUUCUUCAGUUUGACGUUCCGGAUUCUAAGAAGGACCCAAAGACUUCCUCCUCUCCCGUGCGUCCUUUUAAUAUUUGAACGGGAGCUACAUAUGGAAAGGCAUCAUCUGUGUUUUGAUUGAAGCAACCGCUACUGCACGAAUACCGACCGCGUCGGCCGUCAAGGUCGAUCCCUGCCCGGUCGACCACGUCCACACUGUCCAGUUCGCCUCUUCAAGCGUGGCAUGGACUUGUUUUCUGCAGCCGGGCUGACCACCACUGGGUAGCUGCAACAGCAACAUGAUGCUAAUAUAAUCAAAUUUACCGGCCGUUUCAUGACCCAGCCAACCGAUUAAUUUGGUCGUCAUCGGCCGGCCUGCGUCCGUGCUUCGCCGGACAGGCUGACCAGUUUUUUUUUUAAACGACCAUCGACCGGAUUCCAUUAUCAGAAAAUAAUGGAAUACACAGUUCACCCCCAACGAGUUUGCAAUCUUGCUGACAGAGCAGGCAAGAAACAAUGCUCAAAAGAAAAAGGAUAUAAAACAGGUAGCAGUAAUAUAACUGACUAAAGGAGGAAAGACGCUGGCACUCAAGGCCAGAAAACAAAAUCUCAAGUUUGUUCCAGCAGAGAGGAAUCUUGAUCUGAUCAUAAAGUGCACAGAGCUUAUCAUACUCCCCUUGCCUGCUUCUUCUCCGAGUCCUCGGUUGAUGUUGAGUCCCCAUCAUAAGUAUCCUGGAUUCUCCCCACAUCCAUCCUUGCCUGAUCUUCAUGGUGGCGCAGCGCCUCAGCCUGGAAUGCCGUAGCACCCAUUAAAAGAUGAACUUUGUCCUGGUCAGUUUACUUCCCUGCCCAGUAUCUCACGACGAAAAGGGAAACUGUACGUACCAACAGAGGAGCACGGAUAGGAACAAAGGAAAUAAUCUACCAGGAGAAAGGGCAAAAAACAAGGGUACUGGUCACGACGUCCGGUGUUCGUACGGUGAGAACAUUCAACUCCACAUUUAUGGCCGCACGAACGAGUGUUCCACAGGGUACGAUGAGAUUAUUGCCUGUCUUUUUGUUUUUUUGGCUCUAGACUGUCGACGUUCCGCACGAACAAGUGUCAGGCAGGGUACGAUGAGAUUGCCCCUUUGGCUCUAGCUUGUGGAUGAGCCCGAGCCAUAUGAAAGAGGACGUAUUUUGAUUGGCAUUUUCCACACUGCGAUGCGACCAUGAUCGAUCGGAACAUAUUUUCAUCCGCGUCUGGAUUGUCACAUCGACGAGCGACCAUCUCGAUCGUCAUAUGAAAGAAGAAGAAUACAUUCCUAAUGCAUCCUACGACAAAUGGAAAAAUUGCUAGUACUAUGAACGAACCUUGGUGUCACAAGUAAAUUUGUUUGCUUCGCCUCUCUUUCAUCCAUGCAUCUGCGUUUGUCAACUUUGCCUGCUUGUCAAUAUUAUGAAGCCUCAAUGUAAGCAGACUAAUUGUAAUGAGGAUAUCCCAAUGAUGAGCAUAAUACAAUGCAUCGCAAGAGCUCAUGCUAAAUAAAUACAAUACCAGGUGUUUUUUUUCAUACCUAGGACACCAUCUAAUAUUCAUGAGAACGUCAUUCUACUUAACACGUCAACUUUGUGUAUCUUUAGGUUUGACGAGAUGGAAGAAGAAAAUGAGAUCAAAUAAAUUUCAUAACAAGAUGGACAGGCCCAGGAUAUGUCCUACAUGUUCAUCCACAAAUUUGAACAUGGAGGAUAUUCUUCGGGGCUUGUUCUACAUGUGCAACCACAUCUUCUACUGUUCAAAUGGUGUUGAAUUGGCGUUUGUAAUGGGCUAUGUAAUAGUAUAGUUAUAUGCAACCCCAUUUUCUAGGGUCAUAGAAGAAUUUAGAAAAUAUUAUAGUUUUAAUCCUUUCCUUAGAGUUUUAAAUCUUGCACUUUCUUUUUCUUGUGUUUGUAAAAAUUGAAGAGACGCAAAGAGGGUCUCUUUGAGUGAAGCUCGAGACAUUCAUCAAAUGUUUUGCUGGGUAAGCUAAUUGUCAAAUGCUAUCACAUUAGUGUGUGUUGUAGCUAUUUGACUCAUGGGACUGAACAAGUUAUUUGUUCUAAAGAUGAAGAUCGAGACCUUCCCACAUGAUGCAACGCCAUUCUUUAGUUGCAUAUUCACCUAAAAUUGCAGCAUAAAAGAAUGGCGUUGAAAAUAUACAAUUUUUAGGAACAUGUAACAUGUGUAUUUUCAUUAUGGAAGUAAAGUGAGAACAAAGGCUAGAUAUCGAUUAAAAGCUUAAAAAUGUGAAGAAGUUUUUAAUAUUUUGGGCAACUUCUAGUUAAACAACUCGUAACAUCAAUAUUUUGCUUGAUUUCCACACUCCUACGAUAAGAUGUUCCUUUAUACCUAUGAAAGCGUCAAAGCUGGAUUGCUAUGAUUAGACAGCACAAAACUGCACAAAUCAUGCUUGAUGACAAUUUAAAUCCACUCACCUAACCAUCCUCUUUUCCCUUUACUAGCCCCCUUCAUCGCUCUCCUAAAAGUUUCUGCUAAAGUCGUCUCACCAUUAAACAAGGCCACGUACUGCAAGAGACGGAAAGAAACGAAAAUUAAUCAAACAAAACAAACAAGCAGGAAAAAAACGAGAGAGAAGAAGGCAACACGAACAACAGAAUAGUAGAGCUCAAGCAAAGAUGAGUAGAGGGGAAGGAAAAAAAUAGAGGGGAAAACAAAAGAAAGGCGAGAGAUCUUUGACCAGCUCCGGUCUCACUCGCCUUCCAUCUCCUUCCUUCCUCCUCCUCGGCCCCGUCGUUGGUUGGCUUUACCCACUGGCGGAUUCCCACACGGCCCAGACGCCGCCACCGCUGACCCCGUCUACACCAAAUCCCCCCGCACAAUUUAACCACCCCACUCCCCCCUUCUCUCUUCUCUCUCUCCAUCUCCACACACACACCAAACGCGCACGCCGUCCGCCGGUUCUCGAUUUGGCCUGUUCCCCUCUCUGCUCUGCUCUCUUCUGCUCGCAGAUCUCCUUUGGUCGGGCGGUUUCUUGAUUUGGGGGUCCGCGUGCUGCGGGGUAUUAUUGGCGGGAGAUGGGCAACUGCUGCGUGACGGCGGGGGAAGGCGGCGGGAGUGGCAGGAAGAAGCAGCCCAAGGAGCCGAAGCAGAAGAAGGGCAAGAAGCCCAACCCUUUCUCGAUCGAGUACAACCGGUCGGCGCCGCCGGGGGCCACGAAGCUGGUGGUGCUGCGGGAGCCCACGGGGCGGGACAUCGCCGCGCGGUACGAGCUGGGCGGGGAGCUAGGCCGCGGGGAGUUCGGGGUCACCUACCUCUGCACGGACCGCGCCACAGGGGAGGCCCUCGCCUGCAAGUCCAUCUCCAAGAAGAAGCUCCGGACAGCGGUGGACAUCGAGGACGUGCGCCGCGAGGUUGAGAUCAUGCGCCACCUCCCCAAGCACCCCAACAUCGUCACCCUCAGGGACACGUACGAGGACGACAAUGCCGUGCACCUCGUCAUGGAGCUCUGCGAGGGCGGGGAGCUCUUCGACCGGAUCGUCGCACGGGGGCACUACACCGAGCGCGCCGCCGCAGUGGUUACCAAAACCAUCGUCGAGGUCGUGCAGGUGAGACUAGCCCGAUGAUUUCCUGAUGCCUUGGUCGUUUUAUGGUUGCAACGGUGUUAGAUUGUCUUUUGAUAAGAUCGUCUUCAGAGUAUUCUGGAAGAUGUUCAUUGGGGAUUCAUGGUAGAAUUUACUCGUAUACUAUAGGGGCCUAGGGCAAAGUUACUGUAGGUGAGAUGGAGUAGGUUAUGAUCGAAUUUGUGAAGCAAUUAGUUACUCUAUGCUGUUCUUCAUUAGCUAUUCAUGCCUGCAUCUUUAAAUUGGUAGCUGGAUUGCUGCAACUCCCCCUUUUUGUGUGUGUACGAAUAACGCUUACACUGUUUCCGUCCCUUACAAUAUCAGAUGUGCCAUAAGCAUGGGGUGAUGCACCGGGACCUCAAACCAGAGAAUUUCUUGUUUGCAAACAAGAAAGAAACCGCGGCACUUAAGGCAAUUGAUUUUGGCCUCUCUGUAUUUUUCACUCCAGGUACAAUCAUGAUAUCAUAUAUUUCUUAUAUAGCUGCUCCCUCCGUUCCUAAAUUCUUGUCGCUGUUUUAGUUCAAAUCUGUACUAAAACAGCGACAAGUAUUUAGGAACGGAGAUGGUAUCUCCGAAGCUUUCUGUUUUAACCCAUCUGUCACUUGCCUGAUAAUAUGAUCAGAGGACAGUGCCAAUAGAGUGGCCUCUCUGCUGUCUAUUUAGUUUAUAUGUUGUUUUCCUAUCAUGCUGAUUGUUCAUUAUGUGUAGGUGAACGGUUCACUGAGAUUGUUGGAAGUCCUUAUUACAUGGCUCCGGAGGUGUUGAAGAGAAACUAUGGCCAAGAGGUUGAUGUUUGGAGUGCAGGAGUGAUUCUCUACAUUCUUCUUUGUGGUGUUCCUCCAUUCUGGGCAGGUUAGUUUUGCACUUGAAAAGAGCAACUAUGACUGUCAUAUGUCAACUAAGUUAAGCAUUUAGGAUGAUAAUAAAAAGUGGAAUGUGUCUGUGUUCUGAUCUCCUGUCUUUGAAAAUGGACCGUGUGUCACAUUCUGCAAUGAUGGGAUUUCUCUUUUUUGUCUAAUUUGCAAUGUGGCGAUAAUCUGUGUACUGUGGUUGAGCAAAAUAUAUUUAUCUUGUGCUAUUGAAAGUUCUGUCAGAAUAAUAUGUUUGUUAUUUCCAUUUUAUAAUGCAGAAACUGAACAAGGUGUUGCUCAAGCAAUUAUCCGUUCUGCCAUUGACUUUAAAAGGGAUCCAUGGCCAAGGGUCUCUGAUAAUGCAAAGGACCUUGUCAGGGGAAUGCUUAACCCAGAUCCAAAGCGGCGAUUAACAGCCCAGCAAGUACUUGGUAAUAAUCAAAUUCUCACACUAGUUAAUUGUACGGUGUUUCAUUUCUUCUGUUCUUCUUGAACCAACAUGGAUAUGCUUUCCAUCCUCAAAAUGUGAAGAUUCUGAGUUACAAAGAUGCAAAAUUUAUAAUCCAAGUUCAGAAACCUUGCAAUUAAAAUUGAGUAGAUAUAUAUUUCUGAAGAUUUCUGCCCUAUAUAUAUUUAUUGCUUUUGCUCAUGAUAGUAACUUGUAUUUUCUUCCAGAUCAUCCGUGGUUGCAAAAUAUUAAGAAGGCACCAAAUGUCAAUUUGGGUGAAACUGUCAAGGCCAGACUUCAACAAUUCUCUGUGAUGAACAAGUUCAAGAAGCAUGCACUUAGGGUAUACCUCAGUCUGGCCCGAACCUCAAUUGAUCAUGCCUUUCGACAAUUCUCUUUGAUUUCCUUUCUUGGAACUUCCUCACAUGUUUUUUUUUGCUACAGGUCAUAGCUGAGCAUCUUUCGGUAGAGGAGGUGGCUGGCAUAAAGGAUAUGUUUGAAAAGAUGGACCUUAACAAAGAUAGUAUGAUUAAUUUUGAUGAGCUGAAGCUUGGUUUGAAUAAGCUUGGACACCAAAUGCCUGAUGCAGAUGUCCAAAUACUAAUGGAUGCUGUGAGUAAUCAUUACUAUUUUCUGUCAUUAUGGGAACCUCUUGCAGCUCUUUGUUAUUAUAUUGGAUUGUAGUUAUUUUUGUAGAAACGAGAACCACCCUUUCCGUAGUGUUAUCAACUGGGUCUCAUAAGUAACUUAUCAGAUAUCAAAAUCCAAAAUCAUGUCAUUUAAAUUCGAUAAAAUGAAAUCGUUAGCAUUCUUUAAUGAUAGUGAUAGAUACAGUUUCUACUGUUCUACAUACUACUAUGUGUUGAAGGUGGUCGUUAUUUUGUGUUUUAUACUCACCAUUUGCUCAUUAUGUUAUGUCAGGCGGACGCUGAUGGAAAUGGAUGCUUAGACUAUGGAGAAUUUGUUACUCUGUCCGUUCACCUAAAAAAGAUUGGCAAUGACGAGCAUCUGCAUAAGGCAUUUGCAUACUUUGAUCGGAACAAGAGUGGAUAUAUUGAAAUUGACGAGCUCCGCGAGUCAUUAGCGGAUGACCUGGGACACAAUCAUGAAGAGGUUAUCAAUGCCAUCAUCCGCGAUGUGGACACUGAUAAGGUUUGUGGUUCCUCACCAGUUAGUUGGUAAAGCAUGGCAGUUUUGUUUCCCGUCUUUUGGACAGCUAUUAUUUUGACUGUGACUGAAAUGCUGAACGUUGUGAUUCAAAAUGUAGGAUGGCAAGAUAAGCUUUGAUGAGUUUGUGGCAAUGAUGAAGGCUGGAACGGACUGGAGGAAAGCCUCGAGACAGUAUUCCAGAGAACGGUUCACUAGCCUUAGCUUAAAGCUGCAGAAGGAUGGAUCGUUGCAGAUAACAACCCAAUAGUAGAUGAUAACGCAAUAGGCAAGUUGUGAAUUCCAGAUGGAAAAACCUUGUGUAGCUUCCUGGUUCUUCGUUGACAACUGUUUCUUCUGUUCGUCUCGAUACUCUGUUGCUCUCUAUUUUUGCUUGGUAUCUUGAUGAAGCAUUAGUUGAUUGUUGAAGAUUUGUUUGUACUUAGAUUGUGUGAUCCAGGCCAUCACGAACACCACGCCUUUGGCCAAAUGUACUGUUACUGUACAAGAGAAAGAGGAAAAACACGGUGGUUGUAUGCAUUUCUUCUCUUCUGUUGGCAUGUAGAGGAUGUACGCAGAGAUUCAUGAAUCAUCGCAAGGUCACAACAAAUUCUAAAAUUUGGUAGUGUCAGCUAAAAAUACAAAGUUUCAUUUUGGAGUGUUCAAUAUUUGUUCCAGUCUCUACCUAGAAAAGGAUCUUCGGAGUAGAUUUUUUUUUUGAGUAGAUUUGAACACCUAAAAGUUUGACUUGUUAUAUUCUUGUGAAGAAUCUAUGACAUUGUAACGGGCACAGAACAAGGUGAGGACGCAUUAAAUGUGCCAAAUAUAUUUGUUGGAUCUGGUCGGCACAAGUUGCUGUCUUGUUAGUUGUCACAGAUAUUUGCGACCGAAAGGGGGUUGCCGUCCUGGAGCAGACACUGCACCAGCAGCCAGCAGUACCAGAUUAGGCCCCGGAGCAUUGGAUUGGAUAUGAGUUAGUUCGAGCUGGUUCUUCUCAAGUUCUCUUUGACCUUUGACCCGUGUUCUCUCUGUUUUCUUCUUGCCAUUACAAUAAAUAUGUGUGUUCUCAUGAUGAUGGACCCACUGACACUUUGGUCAAAUGAGAAGGUAAUUUGAAGUAAUUAGUGGACAACGAUGACGUCGGUGAUGCAGCCGAAUGCAUGGAAUUUCACUGGUUGUGCAGUUUGCUUGCAAACAAGCACUCUUGCUUGGCGAUGAAACCAGGCUAAGAAAAAAAAAUGGGGCAAAAAGGUGGACUGGAUGGAGUUCUUCCUUUUCCACAUCAAACUUGUGCAGUAGUCUGUACGCACCGUUGUAUGUGUCAGAUGAGACGAUCAUGAGAGCGCGGAAUCACCGAGACUUGCGAGAAAGUUACGGUAGACUUUUGGUCAAUAAGUGAAAAGAACGGGGGAAAAAUAAGGAUCGGAUCCUAGCAUAAGAUUGGACUACGUCCAAAACAUUAAAAAAAAAAGCACUGCCGUAACAUUGUAUUUCUACACAUGUAAAACAAAAACAUAUUUCGGCCGACUCAUAAUAAGUGUCUCAAAUCUAAUACAAAGUUAGUACAAAACUGUACUAAACCUGAGACACUUAUUAUGGAUCGUAUUCUUAAAUUUCCAAAACUUAUGAAGCACAUAGCCAAUGGAUAAAAACUCACCCUUCUAAAUUUUAAUUAAAAAAAGAUAACCAUUUGUGAGCCAUGUAAAAAUCACAAAACUGGACACAAAACAUGAUUUGUAUGCAUGUUGAGAAUUAUGUUGAGAAUUACAAGGAGACGUUCCUACUGAUUCUCCGUAUGCAUGAUUUAUUGUGUAGUUUUUUAGAACUUAAAAUUAUACCUUUUUGGUUAAGUUUUUUUUUUCUAGAAUUAUCCAAGUAUUGUAUAUUGAAGAAGAGAGACUGCAGAGUAGUUACAACGCCCCUAGGGUGUGGGUAUCUUACACGCUCACACCUACUCCACACAUUGCCCACUAAGCUAUCUUCUUCCCGACCUUUGAAAAUACCCGCUUGCCACCAAAGUCUACCUUUCAUCUCAAUCACAUGCAGAAUGCUCGCGAUCUCUGGUCUAGCCCCAUCAAAGAUAAUUGCGUUCCUAUGCUUCCAGAUUGACCACCACACCAGAAUAAUACCCGUCGCCAGGUAUCGCCUAUCCGAAGCAGCAACCCUCAUGUCAGACCACCACGCGGCUAAGGAGCUAUCACAACUGGGCUGUCAUUCCGGUCGUCUCCAAAGCCCUAGAAUUUUGAACCAAACUUGACGAGCAAAAAUGCAUCCAAGCAGGAGAUGAGCAAUGGAUUCCGACACCUAAUCACAAAAAGGGCAAAGCGUCGGAUGGGGAAAACCUCUUCUCGCCAACCUGUCGGCAGUCCAACAACGGUUCUGCAGCACUAACAACACAAAGAAUUGACAACGCAUGGCCGCCCUCGAUCUCCAAAGCUCCACAGAACAAGGAAUAGAUUCUCUUCCGCCAAAGAAAGCCGCAUAGGCAGAGGAGGCGGAGUAGAUGCCGGACGACGUCCACCCCAACCGGAAGGUGUCCACAUCAGUCGUAAACUCAAUCUGGCCGACCAGCUCCCACGCCACGAGGAACUCAAGAAUGGCUUGUUCCGAGAGGUUGGGAUCCAUGAGCCUCACCCAACCAUGCUCACACAAAGCAAGAGGUUGCAGACGUUAAGCAUUGGAACAACAGCGGGGCACAGUCCGCGAGACUGUCACAAGGAAGCCACCGAUUAGUCCAGAAGGAGACAUCCUGCCCACACCCAAUCGAGACUGUCAUGGCUGCCUCUGCAAUUUCACAGGCAGGCGACAGAAGUUGCAGCCGGAACUCCCCCCACGGUUUGUUGGGCUCAACUUUGCGCAGCUAACACCAUCUAGCUCAGAGAGCCAGGUUCAAUAGCCGUAGGUUAGGGAGACCCAGGGCACCAAACUACUUGGGAGAGCAGACCUUGUCCCAAACCACCAGAGAGUGUCUGCCGCGGGCCUCCUUCCGACCAUGCCACAAUCAAAUUAGUUGAAUGUUUGUAGAUUUAUUUUAUGUAGAAACGCAAAUGCAAAAUCUAAAAGACCCAAUAAAUGUACAUUUAGCAAUGAUUUAAUAAUUUGUUUUAAAAUUAAUCAACUUGAUGCAAUUGUUACGUCAUCUGAAACUUGAUGCAAUUGUUACGUCAUCUGACACGAGUUUGUCUUUCCAUCGUCUUAAACAUUACGAGUCGAUAGUUUGCCCAGCCCUCCACAACUCCUUAUCUCCUUGCCGAGCGACCCAGCCCCCUCGCUCUUCGUCCUCCUCGGUCUUCCUCCUCGCUCGAGCGCCUCCACCGCAGGUUAAUCUCCCCUUCGAUUCUCUCGCUCCCGACCGUUUCUCCUCCCAUCACCCCACGAACGGAUUCCGCCCUUUAGAUCCCCGUUUCAUAACCUUCCCCAAUUCGUAACUGAGGAAAAAAUUAGUGGACCUCCAUAAUUUCUGGGUGUGCCGGUGCACACGCAGCACACCAGCUAGAUUCUCCCAUGCGCCACAUUCCCCACAUCAUGACCGACUCUGCAUUAGGGAGGAAAAUACCUGCGUUCCCCCGGCCUCUUAAUUUCCCCUUUUUGAUUGGAAUUAUCUCUUGUCCAGGAUGGUGACCGGUUAUUUUAAGAAGACGAAUUAAUUCUUUCCAAGAGAGCAAACUAAGCUGUACUUGAUGCAAUUAAUAGUUUUUUUGUAAACCUGUAGUGCUAACUUCAUUUACAUGCCUCUCCAGGGAAUUGUGCAAGGCCAUUUUUAUACAAAAUGGUUCUCUGUCAAGGCUUAUCUGCUGGACAUGCCCAACUGUUCGCUUUUCCUGCUGCUAAGCAUAAGCCUUUCCUCUUAAGAAGAUCGUGCCUUCGUAUUCCAGCAGGAUCGCUGAGUCCAAAGAGCGUACGGCUUCAAUCUGAGAGCAAGAAUUUUUCGGUACGAGCUGUGCAAGGUAUGCAUGUAAUGAAAUAAUUUUCUUCUGGUUAAAUUUACUGCAAUGUAUGAUGCAUAUGCUCUUUUAGACGUGUAUGGUAGAUCGUCCUUAUUCCUUGGGUCUCCAAUGCAAAGUUAUAGUGCUUGUUUGUUAGAUCAAAAGGUAAAGUGUUGUAUAUUUAAAAUGCAAACUUCUUUCUGUUCUUUAUACAAUAUGCUGUCAUUCUCUUACCUUCGCAUACAAAUACGGGGAGGGUUAGUUGCAUUUAGUAGAUAGCAGUACUUUGUACUCUGGAGUCUGGACAAUUAAGUGUCUGUAAAGGUACAUCUUUAGAACUACGCUAACACUUUUUUUUAGUCUGUGCAUGUCCAAGUGCUAAACUAGAGUAUACUAUUGAAUAAUGCAGUUUACUAGUCUAGCGGGGUUCAAAAUAUGGUGAACUCUGUUCUUCUUUUUUUGUAGCAGAACAUCAUUGUUCAGAAUUUUACAAUGUGUGCCAUUCUUGUACUGGACUGCAAGUAUGAUCUACCCUGAAAUAAUUGCUGUUUAUAUGCUGAUAAAUUAUUGCAUCUUAAACUGCGUGGCUUCUGCUGGAGUAUUUUACAGAUUACCUUACACUCUUACAGUGUCUAACACUAAAUUUGAUUUAAACAAUUACAGCCUGCUAACAGUUAGAAACUCACAGAAAUGAUAGCUAAAACUUGAUAUUGCAUAAUCUUUAGUUCCCCUUAGCAACAAUUUUUUGCAGAAGUAAGCUUCAGGGUUAUAUGUUGGAAUUCUGUAGUACUCCCUCCGAUCCAUAUUAAUUGUCGAAAUAUUACAUGUAUCUAGAUGCUUUUUAGGCAUAGAUACAUCCAUAUUUGGUUGGAUCGGAGGGAGUAUGUAUUGAUAUCUAACACAAUAACUUGAUGGAAAAACUUCGCUGAACUUGUACUUGAACUGCUAGUAUAGCAUGGCUGAAAAUUUGAAUUAAACCACUGAAAGACCAUCUAAACCUGCAAGGGUGCCACUGCUUGAACAUAUUGGUAUUAUUUUAAUCAUCGAAUUUAGCAUUGAAUUACCAUUUCUUUUUCUAAUUUCUGGAAUGCUCAUUUGUACCAUCACUGUCUGUGAUUCCUAGCAACAUCUUGUAUGUUCUUGUGAGGACAAAAAAUUUAUGGACAAUUUGCUGCAUUAAACACGGUACAAAUUGACAGUUCAUGAUCAAGCCAAUGGUGAAAUAUGAAUAUUUUCUCAUGAUGUGUAUUUGACUUAUCCAGAGUGUUAAUCAGUCUAACAUAUACCAUCAUAACUUGCGAUCCACUUAUAUUAUACUUUAAUGUUGGUUAGAAUUAAUCUUGGAACUGCGGUAUAUUUACAUGAAUUGUAUGUGUCAGUAUGUGUCUUGUUAGGUAGCUUGCUUUGAUUUCAUUUUGUUACUUGGAUUCUGACACUUGAUCUGAAUUGAUAACACUUAUUUCUUUGAAUAAAUUUCACUGUAAUUAUCAGCUAUAUCUUGCAGCUGGCACUGAUUUUCUUCAAAAUGACACGCUCACAUCAUUUCCGAGGAUGAGUUCCAUCAAUGGAAUUCCACCAUUAUUGACCCAGCACAAUCAGUGUCGAAGAUCUGAAGUUGGUUGUCGGGCUUCAUCUCUAGCAUCAUUCAGCUAUCCUGAGUUGACUGCCAAACCAAGAUGGUGGUGGAGAACUCUAGCAUGUGUGCCAUACUUACUGCCACUCCACAACAUGUGGUCGUAUGCCGAUGUCAUCUACCAAUUGCACACGUACUUGCAGGGAUUUUCAUUGGUUUACACCUUUAUUGACACCAUGACACUGCUCCCGGGGUGGCUCUUGUUGGUGAUAUUUAUGACUGUGUACUUCUUUGUCGUGAGACGGAAGUGGUCACCCCACUUCAUGAGGUUCCAUGUGAUCUUGGCUAUCCUCCUAGACACCGGUUCCCAAGCAGUGGCAACGAUGUGCACCUGGAUGCCCAGCAUCGUGUACCAGGGGAAGCCCAUGCAGCAUUUCUGGAUGGCUAUUGCUUUCAUACAGAUCUUCACGGUGCUCGAGUGCAUGCGGUGUGCUCUUGCUGGGAUGUAUCCAAACGUUCCUUUCAUAUCCCACACAGCUUUUAUCCAUUCUGAUCUGAAUCUCUUCAGGUAGCCAACUGCUCACCAUACCAGGUUUUGGAUAUUGGAAGGAUGGAAAGGGAGAGGGAGGUGCAGAUAGGGUAGUAUUUUUGCAAUAACUACUUACAGUUCUAUCGACAACAUUUUGUUUAUAUUUGCCAGCAAUUUGACCUUUUUCUGUUGCAACAAAAACCCAAACGGUACAAGUGUUUUAGGUAACGCUGUUGACCUUGAAUUUGACCUUUUUCUGUUGCAAUUUGACCUUUUUCAGGUAACGCUGUUGAUUGUCGCAGCUGUUGAAUUGCUUAAAGUGUUUUAGUUAUCUGCAAUUUUGUGUCUAGAAACGUGUGAAUUCAUGUUUCCUCGUGUGCCUUGAAUUGAGCCCCAGCUGGCUAAAAACAGUUAUCAACCUGUCAUCCUUAAGAGCUUGUACAAUGGUGUUGCUCUGGAACCUUUUCGUCUGCCACGUUACGGAGUAUUUUUUUGUUUGUAAUAUUACUUCUCUGAACAUCGUUUAAGCGCGACUCUGAGAAGCACGAGAUGACAACCAAUGUUAUACGCUCUUUUGGCUAUGAAGUGCUGCUAUGCACUUGCAUCAUCAACUAUCUUUACCAUUUUAUAAAGGAUGCAGUUUUUAGCACUGAGGAAUACAAGAGACAACAUAUGACGCUACCGUUGUAUUUUCUGUUGAUUCACAAUGUGGUGGAAACCACAUCAUGGUGAAAACCAUGUUCACAAGUUUAAAAAAAUGAUGUCUAUGCAGGAAUUUAUGUUCUAUAAACAUGUAAACAACGCAGUUCAAACUAACGUUAAUUUCGAAGUCUGGUAAGUCCCCCACCCCACCCACCCACCAACACACACACACCCCACUAUCUCUGCAAAUGUGAUUGAUCAUCAUUUUUAGUUGUUUGAAUCUUGCAUGAAUCUCAGUGAUCGAAUUAGACGGUUGUUGGCAUCGACUUAGAAAUAGCUAUUUCUUAAUCUCCUUAGAAAUAGCAAAACCGCAUAAAUAUAUACAGAGUAUUAUUUGGUUGAUUUUUCUUAAACUUUGUACACAUGAUCUCAACAUGGUUUAAGCGAUAGAUAAGCCAAAAAUCAGCUACUGCAUGGGUUUCUUUUUACUCUGCAUGUAACCUUGUACUCUCUCCGUUUCACAAUUCUUGUGUUGUUUUAGUGUAAAUUUGAACUAAAGUCUAAAACAACGACAAGAAUUAUGGUACAUGGGAAGUAUUUUUUUUUAAAUAACUGUACAUUUGGACUCUCAAAGCCUUAUUAACCACUUGAUUAAAUUUGUACAUUUGGACUCCCAAAUGAUAUACGGUAUUUAUAAAAGCAAUCAUUAAACUGUUCUAAUGAAGCGAUAAUAAAAUAAAAAAGAGCCGAGCCUUUGCAGGAAUACUUGUAUCAAAAUCAUUUGUACUCCAUAGUGUUAAGGCAAACCGUGGUCUACUUAGUCCAAGUGCCUAAUUUUGGAACACAGAAUUUUCGCAUGAUUGUUGUAUGAAAUAGACGUGAAACCAUUUCUCAAGACAAAAACGUGGUGUAGCAGAGUAAACAUUGUGUCUAAAGGUCAUGAAUUUUUUUGUUAUCACCCUAAAUAUAGUUGUGGUGAGAGAGAAAAAGGCGUCCGUAUACAUAAAAAUAGCAGUAAUCUGAUUUCUGCAGACUAGAAACCCUUUUCUGAAUAACAUACGUAAUCUGAAAACAUUAUACCAUAAGUUAUUUCCCGAUGCUAAAUGCUCGGAGAAAAAAAGAAAGAAAGAACGAGGGCUCGUAUACGAAUCUUGAAUAGUACGGGGAUCAAAUCAGAAAAGGUGUGGUGCGUUAAACUGCCUCGUACUUUUUUUUACCCCGGCUUUCGCGUUGCAGCCGGCGUCGCGUCUCUUGCCCUUUGCUUGCUCGGAGCUCAAAUCGCCGCGGAUUCCUUGGCCUCCAAGCAGCGGCCUCACCCCGGCUCGCGCGCGGCCUAGGCAUCCCGGAUCCUCCUCCGCGGCGACCGAUGGCUGCUCUGCUAGCGCCCGCCAUCUCCGGCGAGGUACGAACCUUCAACUGACCCUGUGUCGCACGGAAAACCUAGAUCGUAAAAGCUGCGUGAGAAAUCUGGCUACGUGUAGAUCGUAGGAGGUUAUAGGGUGUUUCUGUUGGCGCAGUUACACCUUGUUCGUGCUUAAUUUGCCUGGUUGGUUCGUUUCGGGGAGACGAUUUAGGGGAUGGGCUCGCGCCGAAUGUGCGAAUCAUGCUUUGUUUUCCACUAGGAGAGUAGGAGGGUCUGUUAGGGCACAACACCAGCUGCUAGAUACAGCACUAAGGGAUAACCUAUUGUAUCCUAUUCAUCUCAUGUCUAGUUGACGCGGAGAGAAUUAGAGAAGGUCGCCUUUCCUACCACUGUAGGUGCUCUUUGGAUGAUGAAUUAGUGCAGUUAUUUUUGCUCGGUGAUUGCAGCGUCUAUCUGCCAUUGAAUUGCCAUAGGUAAGGUUGCCAUCUACUGCCAGUGCUAGUCGUUUCGUGCUAGUAAAUAGUUGAACAGUGCAUUAUAGGUUAGAUGGGAAGUGCUUCAUGUUUCAUGGACAUUAGAACUGCAUUGCAAUGUAUUCAAAUUUUAUUUGGAUUUGAUGGGCUCUGUAGAUUCAGGAUAUGGCUGCAUUGAGCUUAAAAUAGGGGGGCAAGGGGCAUGCCGCUAGGCCUGCGAAACUGCAUGAAAGCAGUACAAAUGUACUGAUGACACCAAACAGUACAAAAGCUUGAUUCUACCGGUUAACACAUUAAAAAAUAAACGUUCUGUUCCACUGCUUAGUAUAACUAUUGACCAAAUCAAAUUAUGCUGGCAUAACUGGGUUGGUUGUUCAGGUGGUUCAUUUUUGACGAUCCAACAUCCAAGUGGUUUAACUUGGAACACAGAAUUGUAGCAUCUGCAGUGGCACUUAGAUUUUCUAUUUUGGGAGAAUUAGGCUGAUAAAUCUGAUUUCUAACUGAGCCAAUGAUUGUAACUGUAAGUUGUAUUACUGUUCUAUAACUUGUCUAUAACUCGUAAGAAUUCUGAAUGGAUUCUCAAUUCUCUGGCCAUUUUGUGAUAUCCAAUUCAAUAUUUAUUUGCAAGUUCGAGGUACGCUUUUGCUGAAAUCAUCAAACUAUAUUUGGUUUUGUAGGUGGGUUUACGGCUUUUACUGGCCCCAUUAAGCUCUAAUGUUGUCGUCCGCACAGCCAGGUAUACUUCAAAUGAAGUAAAUUUAUUAGCAAUGGUUUUAAUCUGGCUGUUUAUUUUCAUGUUCUGCUUCUUAUAAGUUGAUUGUUUCUUUGUGAAGUUUUUUUUAAAUUGUUAUGUUUUUGUAUUUUCAAGGCAGUUGCAUAGAGCAUGUUAAUGAAUUAAUUAAGAGCUGUCUGGAAUUCAUCAGUAUUUGUAGUUGAUAACUUGCUACAAAUUACUUCUAUUAUCAUUAUUUCUUGCAUAUUAGCAGCAUCCAGUUAAUUAUUUUGUCCAUGGUGAUAGCUGAAAGCAAGUGUAACAUCUCGUAGGCAUAUUCUCAUUUCCUAAAUUCUAGCUGCGUGAGACAGCAUCAUCUGCAUUAUAUACUACUCCGUACAUUCUUAUUGGCUGUUAGGUCUAGGUGGUAAUAUGCUAAUGUGAAGUUACAUGAUACUCUAGUUGGAUGCAACCUAUACUUAUUCUAGCAAACCCUGUUAAAAAAUGAGGGAAUUUUCUGUGGUUAAGAAAUUCAUCAUUGUUUAUGAUCCUCGCUCCAUGCUUGUACAGUUGUGCAGUGGGCAUUGGUCUACCUGUAUAUUCUACUUACAGGGCCAUAGAAAAGAAAGAUCAAGAUGAGAAAGAGCGUUUGCUCCUUUAUUGGGCAGGUCUGUAAAUGAUUUAUACUAUAGUUAUUUUUUCAAUGAUACUGACAAAGCAAUUUCUUCAGUUGACAUUCUUUAUGAAAUACUCUAUUAUUGUACUAGUAUUAUUUUGCUAAAAUAAAAGGUGAAAUUACAUCACGUCAUAGUACCUUUUGAAAUUACUUGUAACUUGUCUGGUAUCUACAGCCACACUCUCCAUUGACUCCAAAUGUAAUUCAGCAUUACUCAAUUAGUUUUGAUGAAAGUGGUAUCUUUGUCAGUCAAGGAGCAACUGCACGAUGACACAUGAAACACUUUUUUGGAUGCUACCAAUCAUCAAAAGAAAACUUGGCGUACAUUAACCCACCUUGUCAUCUUGAUAUGAUUGUUUAGUUGAUGAAAUACCAAUAUGACUAUGGAUAUUGGUAUAAAGACUUCACUGUGAUGUAUGCGAUCUGUAUGUACAUCUCUAAACAAUAGGAAACGAAUGAAAAUGUUUAGUAUGUAUGGGUCAAAUGAACAUUUAACAGGUAUCUUCACUGUGUUUUAGUCUAACAUAUAUGGUUAAGGUUUUCUAAAUUGGUUGUUGCUUGUUACUUGUUACUUGUAACAUUUAUGUCCCUAUGUUUUGCAGCAUAUGGAUCUUUCAGCAUGGUGGAAGUUUUUGCUGAUAAGCUUAUUUCAAGGUAUGGACAUUUGAUGACAUGAUGGAACAUCAGUUUCUUGUUAUUUGUAGCAUGAUUGGCGAUAGGAAUGACACUAAUGUGGCAUCCUUCGUAACCUUUUGGAACUGCUCCUUGUAUCUUUGUAUCAGAUCCCAUGUAAGACAAGCUUCAUGCAAAUAUACACACAGAACAAGUGAACAUGUCUUACAUAUGGAAGUGGCUACAUCCUUUUUAGGCUGUAACUUAUGAGCAACCAAAUGAUUACAAAUUGUGCAAACUAUUUUAGUACCACCGCAUGGAAGGCUUUUGGUUGCCUAAUUUUUUUUUAGUAGCAUCAAUGAGCAGGACGAUCCUGUAUUUGUGAUUACCCCUCAGCCUGCUACGUGCUUAGUUUUAUAAAGCACUGUUGCUUCAUGAUUUAUUAAAUUUAUGUAUGUUAUCCUUGAACUGGAACCUUCUGGUUAAAUCCUUGAUGCAGGAUGCAUCACAGUUUUGUCUGAUUGCUCCUAGUAAGUUACUCCCUCCGAUCCAUAAUAAGUGUUACAAAUUUUGUAGCAACUUAACAUAAAGUUGUACUAAAUCUGAGACACUUAUUAUGGAUCAGAGGGAAUAGAAUACUGGUAUGGAGUGUAAUGGCUGCCAUACCUCGGUGCGGUGUACGGUUCCAAAUACUAAAGGGGACGUGAAUGACUGGGUUCUUGUUUUUUGUUUCGCUGACUGGUUCACCGCAGUAUGCCCCCUUUUUUGCAUGCCUAUUUAAAUUUAUAUACUUAGAUCUUGAUUUCUUAAAAAAAAUGUAUUCAAAACUAGUUUAUCAAACCAGACCGGUAUUAGGGCCCUUAAAUUUCACGGUUUACUGGAGAAAACUCGAACUGUACAGGUCUAACUGUUCCUGAUCCUGAUUGGGUAUAGAAGUUGUAUUGGAAACUUGUAACCAGUGGGCAUUGCAUUUGAAGCAUAAACUCACUUGCUGACAACAACUAAUCGUUCUAUGCAUGUUCUAAGUAAAUUUUGUACAACUGAAUAUAUAUUCAUCCUACUGGAAUCUUUCCUGUAUAACAUUAUAGAAAAAUGCUGAUUUAAAACACUUGGGCUGAUAUAUGUGAAUGAAACAUUUAUUGACUGAAAAGGGUACAUUGAGAAUCAUUUUAGUUAGAAAUCCUAAAGUGCCGCCUCUAAAUUUCAGGGCAAUACUGGAAUGCUGCCUUUUGUCUUCUCUAGCAUAUGUCUUGUAAUGAUGUAUUGCUAACUGAUAUUGUACCAUUGCAGCAAGUUACUCUCAGUCCUUCCUGUCCUGGAAAGUGGAAACUAUCUGAUCAUUUUGUACUCUGUUGCUGUUUUGCAGUGUUCCUCUUUAUUACCAUGUGAAAUUCGCUAUCCUUGUGUGGCUCCAGUUCCCUUCAAAUGGUGUAAGUCAUAAACCAGUUUUGUGUUAGGAGUGUUAAUAUGUAUUUUUCAUAUUCCUAUAUGUAUGACCGAAAGCUAUAUUCCGUAAUAAUUUUUGUUGUUGGUAAAAUUACCAUAUCAGGGAAGUAAAAUAAACGAAGCAUAUGAUUUUUAAUUAUGUUUUGCUGUUAUUAAUUUAAAGAAGUAACAAAUUAGUGUUGAAGAGGAUAGACGUAUUAUAUGAAUGUCAGCAAUGGACUUGGUAUAGCGAUUUCAAUAUCAAGAAACGCAAAGGCCAACCCAACUGGGCUGGUUCAAAUAAUGGUUAGUCGGUUGACAUUGUAUGAUUAUGACAGAAAAAUGUGCAGUCGUAGGUUUAUGUACCCUGCAGUGCAACAUUUGAUUGUUGGUUACAACCUGAAGCUCGAAUCAUGAUGCAUGGCAUCUGUUUGUCUAUUCAUUCCUUGGACCAGUUUUAUUUUCACAAAUAGCGCUUUAAUUAAUUGACUGUAUAGCUAAAAGCCUGUAUAGAGCGUUAAAGUGUUUAGCAUCAUCCACAUGCUUGUGUUGCAAGAUUCUGCUCCUUUUCAGCCAGAUGAUGAAAUAUUGUUGACUAGAAGUUCAAUCUAAAUGAUCCAGUAGAAUCACAGCCUUCUAUAUACUGACAGGUGUUCUUUUUUUAACUUACAGGGAUCAAAGCAUGUGUACAGAAGAUACCUGCGGCCGUUUUUCCUGAAGCAUCAAGCAAAAAUUGAUAGAAUUCUGAAUAUUAUGUCCAAAGAACUUGUAAGCGUGUCUUGGUCUUCAUGUCAUCAUGCAUAUUUUAGAGUAUAUACCACUAAUGGAUAUAAUAUUGUCACAAACAAACCAGACGAAGUUUGUGAGCAACCAUGAAGACGAAAUCCGUUUCGUAGAGAACUUGGCUAUCAGAGGUGCUACAACAGGUACAGAUCGGGAAGUAGAUCCUUUUAUGAUUUGAGAGAAAAAAAAACAGCAUGCUUGUGCAAACAAUGCUUAAAAUUGGAUAUUUGGGUGUACAUAUUAAAUAUCUAGUAAUAAAUUGGGGCCCUAACUUGUUCUUAAGCAUUGAUUUCUAUGGGUUGAUCUCUACAAGUCUGUUUGCCUCAAGCCCUCAAUAUAAUCUCCCAUGUGCAUAUUGUUUAGCCUAUGAUGCCUACCCCUUAUUUUAUUUUUUUCAACUUCCAUCUUGCCGAAGGCCUCAACCAUUUUCUGCACUCGUAAUAUUUGAACUAUAGGCAACCUUUUCACUAUCUUAAAACUGUAUACUGCCAUGUCUUUUCUUGUUGUAUAAUAUGUUCUCUCGUAGAGUUAUUAUUUUCACAAGUAUAAUAUCCCUCUGCCUCCAUACCUGCAAUUGCACCAUGCGGCUUCAUGUUUUUCACAUUAAGAACUCCAAAUUUUAAGUUGAAGUAAUUCUGGGUUGCUUGUGCUUGGAACAGCAAGUUAUAUAGUAAAUGGUGUCGACCAACCUGGACAACCAGAAGAAGUUAACACAGCCGAAGGCCCGAAUUCAACUGCUACGGAAGAAGCCGACACACCGAGAGGCGAAACUCGAGCUUGACUGUUUGUCUCUGCCAAAUGUAUCUUGUGCAGCAAGUACCAUCUUGUUGGAUAUGCUGCAGAAAUGAACCUUUAGGUCAUCCAGCUCGUCAGUUGAAUGUGAAUAUGUUAUCUCUUGAAAAAUCAGCUUGAACUAUGUUUCAAGCUUUAGGAGGGGUACUGCACACUUUGUACACUACGGUGCCACAAAAAAUUGAGCACCAGUUUGUGAGAGACCAUAUGAAAUUGACUGGAGUAUGAAAAUGUAGUUUCACAACUUGGGUUGUCGAUUUCAUUUCAUUUGUAGGUUUUGAUUCGUAUCUAAGUAACAAGUCUCCAGAAGAUGGAAUCAUGAAUACAACCGAUGUUUGUGGAGUAAUUUCUUUAGCAAGGAAUCUUUUUUGGCGCAUAUUAGCACCGAAUCUAUAGUUCGCAAUUCUAAGAAGGUUCUUAACACAACUCAGGAAGGAAACGUUCCACACAUUCAUGUGUAAAUAGAUAAAUGAGUUGAUGAAAGACUAUCUGCCGAUCAACGUUGACUCUCUAAUACGACAAGAUUGUACCUACGAUACGCGGUACAAAGUCUAGAAUUUGCUGAAACGAUGCGUAAUGGUAGCUGAAAGCUUGAAACUUGCUUUGGACCAAAACCUGUCGCUGAGCUUGCAUUUGACCGGACCGCCCUCACGUUUUGUUGUUGGAAGGAAGGAGGCGGCUUUAUUCGUCAUCUCUCUGACCAGUAUGGUAGUUGGACAAGAAGAAAACAAUGUUGGAGCAGCUAUGGUACGUAUAUAUGUAUGAUAUAAUGCCGCCGGGCGAAUAUUCAACAUUGAACCAAUGUUUUCUGUUCUUUUCAAAGUUUGAACUAAUGAGUUUUUUUAUUUAACCCAAGAAAAGACAAUCUUUUUCCAACAAAAACGGAUCUUCGUAGAGAAAAGAAGACCGAUGACCUGCCGACUCGAAACCCAAACCCGUCAUAGAAAGAAGAAACUAACGACCCGCCGCCUCAAAAUCCUAAUCCCGGUCGCCUAUGACUAAGAAAAAGAAAAAAGGAGUCACCGUUCCUGCAAAAGAAGAGACAGAUGUAUGCCUCAAGUCUUUUUUGUAAGAGGAGUAUUUUUUUGGUUAAGUUCUGCUACUCCGUACUUUAUUUAGUUUAAAUUUUGAACUAAAUACCGAAGCACCCACAAAAACUACCUUAACAUGGCCUUCAGGGACAUCCAGAAACAACAAUGAACCAUGUCACAGGCUAAUGAUGUCCUGCUCCAUGUUCCUGAUGGUAUCACAGCAAAAGCAUACAUGGACUUUUUGCAUAGCCUUAAAUCUAGCUAUGCAGCUUGGCUGCAAUCGUCUGGAGUAGUUUUUAAGUCGCUGCUGCGGAUACGGAGUGCUGGCUUGUCGCUUGUGUGUUCUAACACUGUCCUUGAGAGCCAAAUUCCGUCGCUGAUGCCUGAUGGUAUAGCGAGGAAUGCUAGGAACCUCAGACUCUGUGGUUAAAGGAUCCGUCAGGUUUUCUUUUACCUGUUCUGGUGCAAGAUGAAACAACCAUGUAUUUCGAACCAUGCCUCCCUGGUGGAUAUACAAAGGAUUCGGUUUUGCCCGUGCAAACGCGUCAUAGACACUCACAAAUGUAUGGUAAGAUCUCCACGGUCAAGGAAAAGACUUGGUCAGAUAUCCCCGUACAAACCUUCAAGUAACAAUGUUCCUCGAAAGCAUUCUGUGAGUAAAUAGAAUCCUUUUGUGCGUACUCGAAAGCAUUCUAUUUCUACAUACAAAAUGCACCAUCUGUCGGAAAACAAGAAUUCUACCCGCAAAAAAAGGAAAACAUGUAAGAAUUCGAACAGUUUCAGCUCGUGGCUAAAUGUUGGGUCGUAGCUUAGCAUAUGCAAUUGGUCGAACGGCUUCGGCUUGUAGCUAAAAGUUGGAUCGUACCCCAGCAGUUCCAGAAGGACAGAAAAUAGACAGGCAUGAUACAUAACAUUUCAAAUAUGCAAAUUUCCCAUGGACAAUCGAUAGAAUAACACAUAUUACACUCACUUUGGAAUAUAAUGAUAAUGAUAUUACUCGAACAACUGCAUCUCUUUUAGAUCUACAGUAUAGUAUUUGCUUUCAUAUCCAUCCGUGCAUGCAGCAUUUUGAUUGUUCUGACUUCAGAAUUAGGCUAAGACCACAGAGAGAAAUGCAAAAACCAUGAGAUCUGACUCCUUUCCAGAGUCAAACCCAACAGCAUGAACACAAAACAUAGAAUUAGUAGCAGAAAACAAAUGGCAUUCAACCAGGCAAAAAUUGACUAAAUUAACAAUGUUUUCAUAAAAUUGUUCAUUUUGAUAAAGAAUGAGCAAUCCUAAUCUCUUGUCAGCAAGAGACCUUGAACACAUAAUAACCCAUGGUGGAGUAUAUAAUUUUUCUUACCAUGGAAAUGGAAUAAAAAUCCGUCUGAACUAAUCAAAAGAAUACUAGUUAGGACCCUGGUGAAGUAAAACAUGUUUACCGAUGCUCCUGAACUGCUUUCAGCUACCAAUCUGUGACCGGAUGUUCUGUUGAACACCACCAUCUCUGACUUUGCCACCAAAAAUUCAAGAAUAAAAAAGAAUAUUUAUUAUUUACUAGGACCAACUAUUCUUUGGUAAAACGAUGGUUUCAUCCGCUUGUGGACUUCACAGCCUCCUUCAAUCACUUCUGAUCCAUGUGCUGCUCAAGCCAAGCACCAAUUGCAGUCUGAUCCAACAAAUCAGCCUGAUUGUUCCAGUCUGUCCUGUUCGUCGAUCCAGAAGCUAAGCCGCCUGCAUUGCCCAGCAUUUCACCCCUCCGGCCAUUCGGUGACUGUCCCCACGACACAUCCGGCUCCUUUUCUGCAAGCCCUGAUUGCUCAGGGCGUCUCAGGCGAACCAGCUCAUCACCAUCAACACCCCAGUCAACCUUACCCAUUGGGGAACCCAUAUUGCCCCAUGAAGAGUUAGAAUUCCGUGGUGAACCCGUGGAUGGCAGCUGGUGCUUGUUCAGGGAGGCAAACUGUUCAAACAUCUCACGCUGAGUGUGAGAGGCCCCAAAACGAGCACUUAGGGGCGAUGUUGGCUCCAUAACCCGAGGGGACCGAGGAGACAUGCCACCGAUUGGAGAAUGGACAAGCGCUGAUGGAUCAAGACCCCUUGGUGAGUACAAUCUGUUGGUGUUAACUGGUGAGAGGAGACCCUUCUGCUGAUGAAGCUUGUUAAGCAUGGCUGAUUUGUGAGCUGGUGAGUAGACUGAGUGAGCUUGGUCAUUAGUGAACCUUGGCGACAUUGCUAGGUCUGAAGCAUACAUGUCUUCAAGGGUAGAUGGGGCGAUUGCUGUUGGUCUGACGCUAAGGCCAGUAGAAAGGCGGGGUUGGGGACGGCUGCUGGAUGGGAGACAAAGUGCUCCAAGGUACUGUGAUUCCCAAUCGAGGAGCAUGCCAAGAUCCUCAGCAGUAGCAUCUCUUGCAUUGAAAGAAGAACGCAGCCUGCUACCUUGAAGCCAAUGAGGAGCAGUACCUCCACCGUUGCUCCCAGCAGAUGGUGACCCAGGCGGUGGCCCAAAGUGCCUGGGAGAUCCUUGAAGAAGCCCGAGCUGGGCAGCUGCACUCAUAUCAAUAGAUGAAGUUGCACGGGGAGAUAGGAGACCAGCACCGCUAUUGUGAGGCACAUGGCGGAGCUCCUCUUCAUCAUGUGCAAAGAAGCAGAUGCGGCGGGCGCAGGCUGCUCCCUCUUUGCAGAGCCUGGUGCGAUACUGUGUCGGGUGGAGCCAGCUCUCGAAGACGCCAUGGGAGAAUUCACAGUUGUCGCCACUAGGACAGCCACCGGGGCGCCGGAAGUUGGGGCAAGGCACCGCAGUGUACGGAUGCUUACGAGGAUCACGGCGGCGGGCAUUCUCGCCAGGGUGCACGAAGGGGCACUCGGUCCAGUCAUGGGAGUAAGCACGGGAGCACGGACGCACCUUGAAAGCGUACAUGCGGAACUCGUCCGAGGCAUAGACGCUGCUCUUGAUGUCUGGCAGCGUCGGAUCCACGGGAUACUCCUUCUUGCCCCGAUCCACGGUGAUAGGAGACAGCGACGACGGCGACCUGUUGCCCUCGUCAUCUGGUGAGGACGAGAGCGGCGGGGAAGACGCUCCAGACGCCGCCGAGGUAGCCACGGCAAGCGCACGGCGGCGGCCGAGAAGCAUCUCGAGAUCUCCCAGGGCAUCUGGCGAAGCAGGAGGAGCUCUGAUGACGUCGGCCGGGAAGCGGCCGGCGCAGUCGGGGGUGGCCAGGUCGGCGCCAGCGUCCAGAAGCAUCUUGACGACCGGAACAGCGUUGGAGGAGCCCCCUGAGGCGGCGCAGUGAAGCGCGGUGAAGCCGUCGACGCCGGGGCGACGGGCUACAUCGACGUAGCCACUCAGGCCGAGCAGCAGCGAGACGACCCGUGCGCUGCCGUAGGUGGCCGCGACCAUCAGAGGCGUCCGCGGUUCGUAAGCCUUGCUCCGGCCAUACCACAGGCCGACCUCAUCGGCCAGCUCCGCCGCCUCCUCGCCUGCCAGUUCAAGCGCCUCCCUCAUCCCGUCAACAUCAUCCGCCGCCGCGAGCUCAAGCAGCGCCGCCAGCUUGUCCCGCCGCCCGCCGCCCGCGACCUGCGCACGCGCGGGAUCAGGAAGGUCGCCCAUUGCCGCUGCUACUAGUACUCAACAGGGGAAAGCUCAACACAUCUGCAAAAGAGGCAAGCGCAGGAGGGGGGGUUAUAUAGAUUCAGCAGCAGCAGGAGGAGAUAACCCCGGAAUCGAGAUCAGGAAAUCGGCGAAUAAGGAAGGCGAGAAAAAAAAGGAAAGAUGUGGGGGGAGGGAGAGACCCAGACCCAGCUCGACGAAUCGGAGCUCUGUCUCCUUUGGAAAGCGGCCAAUCAAACCCAAUCCGGAGAGCACCGGGAGCAAAUCGCCGAUCCGAACACCGGAAUCGACGGGAGGGAGGAAGGAAGGGAUUACUAGGGAAGCAAUAAAUGAGCAGUAACCAUUUACCUCCCGCCGCGGCACGAUCCAAAUCCAAUCCCAAUCCAGCCCAGCCCAGUCGGAUCCGGAGGCGGACCCCUCUUCCUCCCUCCUGCCCGGCAGUAACCGGCGGCGGGGUAGCGUCUCCCCUCGCCGGAGAAGAGAAGCGAAACGGAACCGCCUUGGGGAGCGGAGCAGGGAAAGAGAGAGGAGACAGCGAGGUGGGGGGAGGAGGAGGACUCGCAGUUUACUGGUGGUGGUGGCGAGGAGUUAAAUUGUCUCAUUCCUCGGGCACCGCGACCCUCUUCACCCUCAGCCGUCUAACCCACCACCUCCCACAGCCGCCGACACGGUAGCCCCACGUAACCCCGGGUCCACGAUGUCACUGAGACGGUUAGAAAAACGUCAGGUAUCGGCCCGGGUCGAGAUUUUUAUACAGGAAUUUACUGUGCGGUGGGGCCUACCAGGGGGAUUCAAACAGGCGGGUGCCGGUGGAAAUUGCUGACCGCUCGCGUCGGGGUGGGGUCGGGGCGGCUGCUGCCCGCUGACACGCGGCGGCGCAUCGGGCCGUCGGGGCUGUGCACGGACGGGCAGGAUCGUGCGGGGCAGGUGGCGGACGUGAGAUUCGGCGCCGAAAGCCUCGGUUGUAUCUAUCCCCGUCGUACGGAGGAGGGAGGUCGGCUCGAGAGAGAGAAAAAGAAAGAAAGAAAGGUCGUCGUCGGUGACCUCCCGCGCCCGCUGCGCCCGGUGCACUGGACCCAGUGCACUGUGUUAGAGUUUGAAGAUAUUCGGUUCAACAAGAAAAUCCUAGACAGAGAGAAUUAGUUUUGCUGUUCUUAUCUCUCUCUUUAACCUUGUCUCGUGUAUCUCAAGUUCUCUAUCUUUCCCGUUGCUAACGGUUUGUAAACAAACUCUGUAAUCUUCUUUCCGGUGGAUACACCGGCAUAUAAAUAAACACCACGCGGCCCUGAGAAGGGUAACACGCUUACAUCAAAGUUUAUAUGGUAUCAGAGCCUUCCUCUUCCACCUACAUCUGAUUCCAAUCUCGUCGCUUCCAUGGCUUCAUCAGGCUCGACGAUUCCUUCUCUCGGUCAGGUGUCUGAGAAACUCACGAGGGAGAAUUAUCUCCUGUGGAAGGCACAUAUCCUUCCAUCAAUCCGCGGUGCUCAGAUCUAUGGCUACCUUGAUGGCACGAUUUCUGCACCAGCGCAAGAACUCACGGUUGAGAAGGCGGACAAGACCGUCGACAAGCAACCGAACCCAGCCUAUGCGGCAUGGGUUACUCAAGACCAGUUGCUCCUGUCCCAUCUGCUCAACAAUCUCACCAAAGAGGUGUUGACGCAGGUGAUCUCCCUGCAGACCUCCCAUGAAGUCUGGUCGGCGCUCGAGAACAUGUUCUCGUCCCAAUCCAGAUCGCGGGUGAACAAUCUCCACAUCAUGCUCGCCAACGCCACCAAAGGUAAUAUAACAGUGGCAAAUUACUUUUCCAGGAUGACGAGCCUCGGAGAUGAACUUGCAGCAGCCGGCAAACCACUCUCGGAAGACGAGAUGGUGUCUUGCAUACUGGCGGGGCUCGAUGUCGAGUACAACCCGCUGGUGUCCGCACUGGAGGCCAAGACCGACGCCAUCACGCUCGGCGACCUCUACUCCCAUAUGUCGAACUUCGACACAAGGAUGGAGCUGCUACAAGGUGGCUUUGGCAGUGGCUUCAAGUCAUCUGCAAACGCUGCUGCAAAAGGACGCGGCGGCUACCGGGGGCGAGGAGGACCGCGAGGCCGCGGCAACCGCGGCGGACGCACCAACAACUCUAGCAACACCAACAAAGGACCACGACAGGGUGGUCCAAGCGGCAGCAACGGGCGCAACAACGACUCUCGACCUGUUUGCCAAAUCUGCUCCAAGACAGGCCACACCGCCAUAGAGUGUUGGUGGCGUUUUGAUGAAGACUACCAAGCUGAAGAGAGGGUUGCUGGAUCAGCAAACACCUCGUCCUAUGGAGGCGAUACCAGUUGGUACACCGAUAGCGGUGCCACUGAUCACAUCACGGGGGAGCUAGAGAAGCUCACCAUCCGUGACAAGUACAUGGGGCAAGACCAAGUGCAUACCACAAGCGGAGCAGGUAUGAGAAUUAAUCACAUUGGUCAAUCAUCUAUUUGCACCCCUAAUCGUGAUCUUAAACUUAAAAACAUACUCCAUGUUCCACACACAUCAAAAAAUCUGCUUUCUGUUCAUCGCCUUACCAAUGAUAGUAAUAUCUUUAUUGAGUUUUGGCCUCGGUACUUUUUGAUUAAGGAUCAGGCAACGAGGAGAACAAUCUACAGAGGCAGAUGUAGAGGAGGUCUCUACCCCUUAGUUCCCUAGCAUCGGCAGUUCAAUAAGCAAGUGUUUGGUGUCACCAAGUUAUCUUCGUCGAGGUGGCACAGUCAUUUAGGCCAUCCUUCUUUUUCCGUAGUUCAGCAAGUGCUUAGCAAUAAUGAUCUCCCUUAUGUUGGAGAAUUAUCUAGUGAGUCAGUGUGUGAUUCUUGUUGGUGUGCCAAAAGUCAUCAACUACCAUACCCCAUCUCCAGUAGUAUAUCUACAGUUCCAUUAGAGUUGAUUUUCUCUGAUGUUUGGGGACCAGCUCCUACCUCUGUUGGGAGAUUUUCUUAUUAUGUGAGUUUUAUUGAUGAUUUUAGUAAAUACACCUGGAUCUAUCUCAUUAAAAGAAAUCUGAUGUCUUUGAGGUGUUUCACAAUUUCCAAGCACUUGUUGAACGAAAAUUUGGUCGAAAGAUAAUUGCUAUGCAAUCUGAUUGGGGAGGAGAGUAUGAGAAAUUAAACUCCUUUUUCUAGAAAAUAGGCAUAUCUCACGAUGUUUCCUGUCCACAUGCCCAUCAACAAAAUGGGUCGGCAGAAAAAAAGCAUCCACACAUUGUCGAAGUAGGUCUGGCUUUGCUAGCCAACGCCUCAAUGCCCUUAAAGUAUUGGGAUGAGGCCUUCUUAGCAGCCACAUAUCUCAUCAACAUGCUUCCAAGCAAAGUUAUAAACUUUCAAACCCCUCUUGAGCGUUUAUUCGGCACAAAACCAGAUUAUACCUCCCUUCGUAUUUUCGGUUGUGCUUGCUGGCCGAAUCUUCGGCCAUACAAUACAAGAAAACUUUCCUUCCGCUCUAAGCAGUGCACGUUCCUUGGUUACAAUGCCUUACACAAAGGGGUCAAGUGUCUUGAUGUUCAAACCGGUCGCAUUUAUAUUUCUCGGGAUGUUGUUUUUGAUGAAAUUGUUUUCCCUUUAAAAUCCCUUCAUCCCAAUGCCGGCCAACUUCUUAGGAAAGAAAUCCUACUUCGUCCUGAACACCUUCACUCCUUUGAUCAUGGGGGCGAAAAUAAUGAUGAUGAUCAAGUUGUGAUUAAUAGUCAUGCUACUAACCCUGCUACUAAUCCUGUUUGUGAGCCUAUGGAGCCUACAGGAAAUCCAGCAGAAAAUCAUGGCGCAGAAAAUAUUGGGUAUAAUCUUCGCGUAACCCAAGCAGUAACCGGCAGAUCCCAGGAGGAUUCGGGUGGCAGUGGCAACAACAGUAGCUCCAGAUCUGAUGCAGAUUCUCCUAUGUCAGGCGGCAGUAGCGGCAGUACUUCUCCCGUGGCGCCUGCACCCGCUUCGCCCGUAUCAUCGCACGCCACGCCAGCACUCUCCACCGACAGCAGCAAUAGCGCGUCAAUGAGAUCUUCUGCGGCUCAAUCCAGCACGGCUGGAUCAUCUGCAUCAUCAUCUCCGGUGCAGCCGCAACCUACAUCAGUUCCAGCAGGAAAUCAAGCAGUACCAGAUCUACGUGUGACACGUUCCCGGCAUGGUAUUGUGAAGCCUGGAUCUCUCGCCGGAGACAGAGAAGAAAGGCAAAGGGGAAAGGGGAUCUUGAGCAGCAUCAAUCCAAGAAGAAGCAUCUCAAGUGAGAUGGGGAAAAACUUACUGGGGAAAGUAUACAUCACACAUACUCCCCCUCCCCUCCCCCUCCGGCUGGCAACGCCGGCGGAGGAGAGGAGAGGGGGAGCAGGCAUCUCCGACGGCACUAAGCCAACCAACUAACUCAAGGAACUGCUACUAGCAGGAGCAGAGGAAGAGCGGUAUGCUGGCAGUGGAAGAGAGAAGAGACGAGCGUCUAGUCCCCCCCUGUUUACGUAGGUAGGCGUUACUCGUUAGACAGACAGUCAAUCACAAACACAGGGGCUGAUUGCCUGAUUCUAGAGUAAUCAACGCUUGCGGCUCCCGAGCCUUUCUUCGCACCUUGAUUUUUCAGCUCAAAUCAUAUUUCUUGUAUCCCACCCCCUCGUUCUAACAAAAAAAAAAUUGACAACCCUUGGUCUAACAACUUGUUGUUUGGAUCUAAGCAUUUAGGCUUUGUAUUGGACAUUGAUGUUGUGUAACUCCCAAAAUUUAGAGUAUUGGACUGGUCUAAAUAUUCAUCCAUCUCAUUCGGGCUCAGUAUUGACUACCAGUACACAAGGCGAAUUUGGAUCCAGCCCAAUUCCAAGCAAAAUAACUCAACAUCGUUGGGUAUUCGGGAUUUGCGUACCCUUCGACCUGCGACCCACUUACUCGACUCAAAAUAUCCAUGUCCCUGAUUCCUUCCUCGGUGCCUCCCUCCUUUCUAAAGACGACAAUCUCCACCUCCACCCUAUCCCCACCCCGUACCUCAUCCCUGACUUCCCGACGACAGUGCGAGUGCCAGCGACGGCAUAGGUAGCAGCGUCACAUCCUCACAGUGGUGGCGGCUCGGCACUAGUGAGAUCCGCCUCUAAUCAUGUUUAAAUUUCGCCAAUGUUUGAAUAUUUUUUCUAUUUUGAGCAAUUAUCUGGUCAAUCGUUGGGAUGCUGCAAAUGAUGGAAAUUGGAGCAAAUAAUGUUGUAAGUUAGGUAUCAUGCCAAAAUGCGCCAACAUUGGAGAUUAAUGUCGAUGAAGGAGCACUCAAGAGGAAGAUGAGCAUUUGGCCCAGCCCACGGUGCUAGGGCGGUAUGGGCUAACACCAUGGGGAAGUUGGGGCAACACGCGCCCCGCUAUGGAGAGCCAUGAUACAUCGAAAACGUAUCGCACCUUUUGAAUUCUAAUGUUAUGUUUUUUUCUUCAUAAAAUCAAUUGUCUGGAGAAUGAACCCCUAAUCUCUGAUGGAAUCUAAAAUUUUCAUUGUUUCUAUGUUUGCACGCAAGAAACUUCUAGGACUCAGAUGAAACAUGGCAACGAAGACAUGCGUGGGUGUACAGAAAUAUUGUGCAAAAGUCAUGGCUCGACCACGCAAAAGGUAUCGGGGUGGUUGGCUGAAAGGACAUUUCUCUCCUAAGUGUUUUGGUGGUGACGACAACGUGUUUUGUUAUCUAAUCUUGUGCUAAGCAUUUCAGGGUUUAUAAAGAACUCGACACAAGAUGAAUUGUGGACCCUCAAAAAGGAAAGAAGCGUAGUGAUGUUUAGCGGCUUUUUCAGUUGAUUUGAGUCGUAGGACAUCCGUACUAUUAAGAGGGGAUCCACAAGGGAAGGUAACGGGUGAAUCAAUUUCACGUACACAUCUAAACCAAAUUGCACCCACUAAAAAGCCUACCCAAUAAGGUGUGAGAAGAAAACAUUUUUCAGAGUGUUGUUUUGGCAUUUCUGGCUCACAGGCGGCGGAAGUUCCGGGUGAACUUCCGCCCGAACUUCCGGGUGCUCUCUGUUAGUCCCGUGGGAAUAUGCGGAACUUCCGGUGAAUAUUCGGAACUUUCGGUCAGCCGGAAGUUCCGGCUAUCCAGCGGAAGAGCCGGCCUAUCCCGACCAGUGCCUAACGGCUCGAUUUUUGGGUGCCCAACGAGCCAACUGAGCAAGCAAGCAGCCAAGAACACCUCAAGCUUAAAUAUCCAAGAUCUCCCUCCCUAGCCACUCAUAACUCUUGAUUCUUUGUGGAUUGGAGGAGAAGAUCUUGAUCUAAGGUUUCACCAAGUCAAAAAGUUGAUUCCCCAUGUUUUCUUUGUGGAUUUCGUUUCUCUUGGGUUGUUGGGAACCCUAGACGGAAGCAGUCAACUCGAGCUCUCCCUUGGUGUUUGAGGAGCUCGGGGCUUGGAUUGGGAGCCUCCGAUUGAGUUGUGGAGUUUGCCCCGGUCAAGUUUGUGGGACGGAGACGGCCCGUCGGGAGGACAUGGGGCGCUUCUCCGUCUCCGCCUGGAUUGCUAACCCAGACGAGAUUGCCAAGGAGAUGGUGAUCGGAAUCCCCGAGCCGUUCGACCCGGAUCUUGGGGGGAAUGACUUGUUUCUCUCGCCGGAGGACUCCAUUCCGGAGGGUGUAGAGGUGCUGGAUUACUCCGUGAUAGUUCACCUCCUCUGCACUGAAGACCGCAAGAACUCUACCGACCGUUCUUCCUUCGGUGGUGGUGGCGACUCCUCUGACGGCGGCGGUGAACCGGACAACGACCCGGGCAGUGGACCCUCUAGGAGGAAGCCCAGGACGCACGUCUUUCCUUACCGGCGAGGAGUGGUGGAUGGCUCGGAGGUGUCUCGGGGUGCUGGCCCCACCCCAGCGACGCAGGCCGGGGGUGGGGUGGGGGGGGCUCGGCCGGGGCACGCCUGGCGGUGGUACCGCCGGCGACUGGCUCGCCUGGGCUGGCAAUUCCGGCGCCUCCGCGAAUUCAAAUUCAAGCACCUAGUCAACAAAGUGGUUCGGGGAUGGGCCCAGAUUCCCCUGUGAAAGAGAUGCAGCUGACGGGAGCGGAUGACUCCGCUUUCCUGUGUGGAAUGUUCCCCACUUUUGAAAGCUGCAGUUUGGACCCCAUGGUGGCAGAGGACCCGAUGGUGCAGGAGUUUGACUUUUUGUUUGCGAGGAGUGAUCAGGCCGCAGAGUUUAGGGAGGCUCCUAGCCCGGAUCAACAGUCGGGCUCGUUGGGCCUGCUUCCUUCCCUGGGCUCGAACCCAUCGCUGGGCCUGGUGCAUGGGGAGGCUCCUGGGCCGGAUCAGCAGUUGGGCUCGUGGGGCCUACUUCCUUCACUGGGCUCGAACCCAUUGCUGGGCCUGGAUCUUGGGGACUCGGUGGACUCCUCUGCGGAUCCGCAGGUGGAAGAGCCCGUUAUGGAUUUGUUCAGAGUGGAUAUCUCUCCUCUGUCGGCUAGCGCGGAACCCUACACCCCUCUCCGGGAGAGGGUUUCGCCUUCUGGGUUGGAGAGGGUUGAUGAUUUCCGUUCUUCCUUGCGUCGGCCAGUGCAGAGGGUGCUGCAAGUUCCCAGGGUGGCCAGGAAGAAGAAGACUAUUCGCUCGCCGGUCAGAAGAAGCUCACGGUUGGCGAACAGGCUACGGCCCGGUUCCUCAAUCAAGCGUCAGCAAAAGUUGCUCGGUAUCGCCCAGGAGGGAGGCCUUAUCGAUGAGGUGGCCCUACAGAACUAUCUUCGGCUGUUUGAGGAGCCACUGUCCCAGGAGCACAUCUCGACGAUUAUGGCUCUGUUCGGCUGGGACGGUGGGGCGAUGCCAUUACAGGAGGAUGAGGGUGAUGCGGUGACGACCUGAUCUGGGUUGUGAAGGCGUGGUGGUGGGUGGGCUGGUACUAUGUCAGCGAACCCGAAGUUCUUGGUGUGGAAUGUACGUGGGCUGAAUUCCUUAGCCAAACGUACAGGGGGUUUUCAGGUGGUCUCGACGGCGAAUGGCGAUUGUGUUUGUCUACAGGAGACUAAAAUGCAGUGUAUCGAUGCUCGUGUGGUGUCCCUGUGUUUGGGCUCAGAGUUUGACAACUUUUUCUAUUUGCCUGUGUCUGGCACUCGGGGUGGUGUGUUACUGGCUUGGAAGCAGUCCAGUAUGACGGUGUCCCAUCCCCAUCUCACCCAGUACACGGUUACGGCCCGAAUCUCUUAUUCGGGCUCUAGCUGGUGGAUCACUGGCGUUUAUGGGCUGCACCGGGAUGUCGAUAAGCCUUUGUUUUUCCAGGAGUUACGCGAGGUGCGUGGCCUUCCCGUUGGUCCUUGGGCGGUGGUGGGUGAUUUCAACCAAGUGGUUAGCCCUGAGGACAAGAGCAACAAUCGUAUUCAUUGGGGUCUCAUGCGACAAUUUAGGUGGCUUCUAACGGAGCUUGAUUUGAAGGAGCUUUACUUGGUCGGUAGAAGGUUCACGUGGUCCAACGAGCGGGAGAACCCCACUUUGUGUAGGCUGGAUCGUGUGUUUACAUCGGUGGAUUGGGAGCUCUGCUGUCCGGAGGCCUACCUCUCGGCAGUCGGGACAGCAACCUUGGAUCACGCACCCCUCCUGUUAGAGGUUGGAGCUGACUUUCGGGUGGGCCGAAGAUUUCACUUCGAGGCCCAUUGGCCAAAGGCGCCGGGCUUCCUCGAUGUGGCGCGCGAGGCCUGGCAGGAAUGCCAGCCCACUUCGAAUCCCUUCCGGACCCUAGCGGGGAGGUUGCGGGUUUGCGCGCGGCGUCUGCGCAGUUGGAGCGACAAGCGCAUUGGCAAUGCCAAAUUGUUGAUUUCGGUGGCUGCGGAGCUGAUUCUGCGUCUGGAUGUGGCUAUGGAGGUGAGGGUUCUCACGGUGGACGAGAGAUCCCUUAGGGCUUUUAUCAAACUUAAAUUCCUCGGUCUCUCUUCGUUGGAGCGCUCUAUGGCGCGGCAGAAGUCUCGGCUCCUUUGGCUCAAGGAGGGGGACGCUAACACGAAGUAUUUCCGCCUGUGUGCGAGCCAGUGGCGGAGGAAGAAUUUCAUCGGCCAGAUCCGCCUGGACGAUGGCUCGCUAAUUUCCUCUCACGAGGAGAAGGUUUUGGCGGCAAAUGCUUUCUUUGAACAACUUCUCGGGGUGGCGGUGGAUAGACCUUUUACCCUCGACUUGGAGUUCUUGCGUGUGGACUAGCAUGACCUGUCGGACCUCGAGGGAGUGUUCACUGAGGAGGAGGUGAUGGCUGUUGUGAGAGAGUUGCCUUUGGAUAAGGCGCCGGGUCCAGAUGGCUUCAUGGGCAGGUUCUACCGUGUCUGCUGGCCAAUCAUUAAAGAUGAUGUGUUGGCUUGCUUCCGGGAGCUGUCGGAUUUGAGAACUCGUGGAUUCGAGGCGCUCAACCAGGCUUUCAUCUGCUUGCUGCCGAAGAAGGUGGACGCCCUCGAGUUCAGAGAUUUCUGUCCUGUGAGUCUCAUCCACAGCAUGUGUCGGGGGAAUGACCCCGGGUAGGGUCGUGACGACACCACUCUGGCCGAGUUAACAAAGACCGUUCUAGCCGAGAUAAAGGAGGCUAGGCCGGCUGGGAUAAAUAUGUCGGUGUCUCCAAGUUCGACUAACGCUAAGCCGGCUAAGCCAGCAUACCUAGUGUAUGCCGUCACAAUUGUUCUGUUAUGUAAAGUAUGCAGGGUCAAGACAGAUAUGGGAGUUUCGGCAGUAGCCGAGAUCCCUCAACUGUCUUAUCCUGACCACGCGGGCGAAGAAAAGGUGAAGCCGUCACCGCCCCGGGAAAGCAGUCAGCGCCUGCACCGUGAUGUCAGAAGACCACGCGCUGGAAGCACCGAAAGGAGAUUCCCUGACGAAGCUGGCAGAAAGUAAAGCGGUUUUGUCCCCCACAGUACAGUUUGGAGGGAACAGUGCCGCGUGCCGGCGGGGCCCGUAGAUAGCGACGGUGAUCCCGGCCCACAUGGCAGCGAGCCAUGUGGCGCCUAUAAGUAGACCCUCACCCCCUGCGGUGAGAGGAGAGGUUCUUUGAGAUUCCUAUUUCCCUCUUCUUCUUCUUCUUUGUAACACAGCUCUAGGAGCACCUUUGUAAUCUCUGUUAUCCCAGCAAAUCCAUACAAGCAGGAGUAGGAGCUUUACCUCUGCAAGAGGGCUCCGAACCUGAAUAGAUCUGCGUGUUCAAGCGUGUUUCCGUGCGUGUUCUUCUUCACGCCCUCCCUCCUCCGGAUUCACCAGCGUCCAUCGGCCCCAACUCAAGCCAUCCUAUGGCAUCUGCCGUGACACCACCACGACAGGCGUGCUCCCAUGUUAUCUCAUGGUGGCCGACUGACGCUCCUCUCCUCCACCCUCUGUGCUUUGCUAGUUUACGCGAUGCUUUCCUUGGAUCUCCCAAUCAAAACCCUAAAGGCCAUUGAGAGCAUCUGUCGGGGCUUCCUUUGGAAGGGACGGAGAGAGGUGAAUGUUGGUAAUUGCCUAGUGGCGUGGGACCGGGUGUGCUCGCCGAAGGAUUUUGGGGGAUUGGGUUUGCCUAAUCUUCGUGAACUCAACUCUGUGCUUCGGUCUCGUUGGUGUGGGCUGCAGCGGACAGAGGUCUGGCGGCCGUGGCAAGGUCUACCGUUGGGCAUCUCGCGGGCGUCUACUGUCAUCUUUGAAGCGGCUACUGUGGCUAUCAUUCGCGAUGGGCGGGGCACUGACUUCUGGCACGACCCCUGGAUUGGUGGACAAAGGAUGAUAGACUUUGCGGCCAGACGCCCCCAUAGCGGGCAGCUUUCGGUGGCCGAGGGGUUGUUGGAGCAGGCUUGGCUCCGACAGGUUCAGCUUAAUUUGGGGUAGGAGGCGAUCAGGGAGUUGUUCAUCGUGUGGGAUCUUACUCAACAGAUGGAGCUCACGGAUGUAGCUGACUCCUUCCGCUGGAAGUGGUCAGUGGAUGGGCGUUAUUCCGCUAGGUCAGCAUACAAUGCUCUUUUUGCGGGUUGAACAAGGAUGCCGGGCUUUGACCUGAUUUGGAAAUCAAGGGCCCCGGGACGGUGCAAGUUCUUCGUAUGGUUGGCCUUGCAGGGGCGAUGCUGGACGGCGGAUUGCCUGGAGCGGCGUGGCAUGGAUCACCCAGUGAGCUGACCCCUCUGUGAACAAGAACCUGAGACGAUUGAUCAUAUCUUGCUAGGCUGUGUUGUCGCCCGAGUGGUAUGGGCACGGGUGCUGCAGGAUUGGGGUAGGCCGACUUGGUUUCUGACGGCGGAUUCUCAUCUUCAAGAAUGGUGGACGGCUCUGGAGAUUGGAGGCAAGAGGCGCCGGAACGUUGCCACAGCCACGACUCUGAUCUGGUGGUCUAUUUGGAAGCACAUGAACAAAGUGGUCUUCGAAGGGGUUUCACCUAGUAGCGGCACCAUUCUUCAGGACAUCAGAAGAG